rnacentral:lncRNA from 1 species
AAAAAGAAUAAUUAACGGGCCUAAUGUUAAAAAUGGCCCAAAUACUUAAUCUAAAAUUAUUAUAAUAAAUAAUAAAUGAAUAAAUAAAGUGAGAAACAAAUUUAAAAAAAUUAACAGAAAAUAAGAUGAAAACAAAAUCUUUUCCCUGGAACCAUCAAUCGAACCGUGAAAGCAAAAAUCACUAUCCCUCUUUUCGUUUCACAAUAUGAACAACCAUAAACCUUAAACGAGAAUUGAACUUGGAUCGAGAAUGGUUCCAUUUAUCCACAUUCAAGUAUAAAGGGAAUUUUUGGCAUAGUAUUUAGAACAACUGCAAGAUAUUACAACUAAAGAAAGUGCCGAAAAUCUAAACCACAAACAUUCAUUUAAAACCAAAGUAUCAAUAGGCGCCCCCCUACAACUCCUUAAUGAACAAAGAUUAGAGUUUGUUUUAGAAAAAAAAAUUGACUUGCUGAAAUCCAAAGUAGAAAGAAUAACCAAGACAUAGGUCCUAUGCAAUUUUAACAGAGAUGCAGCAUGUUUGGAACUAUCUAACAAUAUAAUAAACUAAAUCAGUGAACACAGCUUGUUACCGAUUGAAAAAAAUUCUUUGCGGUGAUGGAGGUCGAUGUUGGGGUAGACCGAAGAGAAAACCAAAACGGAGAUGCGGGUUAUGUUGAAAGUUGUUUGAAGAGAAGUUCGUGAUGCCGAUAUGGUCACAACGAAGAUGUCUCCGGCGAUCUGAAAGAGGAUGCUUAUCUGAGCGGUUUCAGCGGUGGAAAGGUUGUUACCGGCGUGGGUGUUGGUGAAUGAAGGUCGACAGGUGACAAUGAGGUCGUUCGUGGUUGAUGACAGGAAGACCAGAUGAUGAACAGAGGCACGUGGACGAUGUCGGUGGGCGAUUUCGCAUGCGAAACGGAAGGAUGCGCGAACGUGAGUUUGUGUCUUUUAAGCCAACAUAUGGUGGUUGUUGUGCGAUGGAGAGUUAGGGGUUUGCCGAUGAUGUUUCGUGAGGUGUUUGGGUUUUCCGUGGGAGAUUUGGAAAGAGGAUGGCAUUCGUUGGAUCCGGCGGAAGGGACGACGUUUGAAGGCUUAGAUGGCGACGAAAGAAGUGAAGAAGGGUGGCGAGAAGAGGUUUGUUGAUUUGCGGCAUGUUUUGGAGGGUCGGAGGUUGCGGAGAUUUAAUGGUGGACGAUGCGAUUGAUGCGUGAAGAAGAAAGCGGGCGCGGUGUUGGUGAGUUUAUACGAUGGAGUGCGGUUGUGAAGGUGAUGAGUGAGGAGGUUGUGGAUUUGGAUCGGAAAAGGGAUGUGGAAAAUGCUGUCGAGAAGAAGAGGCUACCGUUUCUUUCUCUUUUGUCUUUUUCUUUUUUCUAAGAGAGAGUGAGUUUUUCCUUUUAGAAAUGUGAGGUGAUUGGCCUCUUUCAGAGUCAGUUGGAGUUACCAAUGUAUUUUUUCGGGAAUGGCAAUCUCUAGGUUCAUUUUCUAUUCCUAUUUUCCUACUGAGAGCCAGCGAGUGAGUGGAGAAUGAGGGGGUGAUAUUUUUCUUUUCCUUUUCGUUCUCUUUUCUAUUUUUUCGGUGUAAGAGGAUAUUAUCUAAGUGGGAUCUCAAUUGGUUUUGCCAACUGUCAAAAGAAAUCUUCCAAGAUUUUCAAUGCUAGCUGACUUUUUUUGCAAAAAAGGGAUCUAAUGCCAAGAUAUAUUUUAUUUGUCAACAAUUAUUAUUAUAUAUGGUUAAAGAAAAUGCCUAUUAAAAAAUUCCUAAACAAUAUUUCAAUUUGAAUAAGAAUAAUAAUAAAACAAUCUCUAAUUCGGAUACGUGAACAAAUAAAUAAAAUGUCGAAUUAUAUAUAGAAGUCGAAUAUAACUUUGCUCGGAAAAUUAAAUCGGAUACAUUAAAACGAUCAACACGAAAUAUACUUAUUGAAAAAAUACAGUGUUUCUUUUAAUUUCGAAAUAAAUUUUCACCAGUUAAAAGGCUCAGACGGGUCAAAAUGCAACUAAAAAAGUCGCUGAAAAAUAAAAUGCGUACACCGGGAUAAACUACAUGAACUGUAGAUUAAUAGUGCUAGCAUCUGCAAUUUAAUGUCGAAACUUUUUACCUGCUGAUUUUGCACGCCUUUGAGAAAUGAUUCAACCAAUUUGUCUGUAUUUUCAACAACUCAUUCCGGCUGAUAUUUUAGGUAUUCAUGAUGAAAUGCGUGUCAUGUUGUGCAUUUGAUGCAAAUUGAAAAUGAAAUCAAAUUUAUGAAAAUUUAUAAAAAAUGUAUGGACAAAAUUGGGGUAUGACAGUUGCCCCUAUUUAAUUAACUUGAACUCGAAGGUAAGAAUGACAACAGUCUUCAUACAUUCAUGGUGGAAGGUAAUUAAAUACGAAAGGACCCAAAUUUUGUCUUUUUGGAACGUAAUGGAGAAAUGCAAAAAGAAAAUGCAACAAAUUCUAACAACACCAAGGUAUUAGUGUUAGAACGUCAAAUUAAAUGCCAACCCUCGAGUCGAUACUCAACUCAUGCAAAGGUCUUUUUCGAUGUAAAGACAAAAACUGAACAGGUUUUCUGGCAUCAAAAGGAUGACAGUAGAAUUAAUUGCCAUCACCAAAAGGAUGAUAGUAAUUCACCAUGAUUUUUAGGAUUGUUAUCAUCAAAGGAUAAUGGUUACAGUAACAACAACAAAGAUUGCCCUCAUCAAAAGGAUGGUGGUAAGAUAAACAACACAAUUUGUUAUCGCCAAAAGAAUGAAAGUUAAACACAAUUUGUCCAUCACCAAAAGGAUGAUGGUUAUUCUUAUAAAGCUUUCCAUCACCAAAAGUAAUAUAACAAGACUACCACCAAAAGGAUGAUAGUUAUCCACUUCAAAGAUCAUCGUCACCAAAAGGAUGAAGGUAAGGUCCAACAGCAAAACUUGUCAUCACCAAAAGGAUGAUAACAAGUCCAUAACUUCAAUGGUCACUAUCACCAAAAGGAUGAAGGUAAGACCUGAUAACAAAACUCGUUAUCACCAAAAAGGUGAUAAUAAGUCAAUAACUCCGACAAUCACCGCCACCGAAAGGAUGAAGGUAAGAUUAAAACAAAACUUGUUAUCACCAAAAGGAUGAUAAUAAGUCGACAAUCACCAUCACCAAAAGGAUGAAGGUACUCUCAAACAACAGAACUCGCUAUCACCAAAAGGAUGAUAAUAAAUCUCAAUGACUAAAUGAUCACCAUCACCAAAAGGGUGAAGGUAAGAUCUAACCACAAAACUUGUUAUCACCAAAAGGAUGAUAACAAGUCGACAGUCACCAUCACCAAAAGGAUGAAGGUACUCUCAAACAACAAAACUCGUUAUCACCAAAAGGAUGAUAAUAAGUCAACAAACCCUAUGAUCCCCAUCACCAAAAGGAUGAAGGUAAGAUCAAAACAAAACUCGUUACCACCAAAAAGAUGAUAAUAAGUCGACAACUCAAAGGAUCACCAUCACCAAAAGGAUGAAGGUAUUAUCAAACAACGAAACUUGUUACCACCAAAAGGAUGAUAAUAAACACACAAAUCAAACGAUCACCAUCACUAAAAGGAUGAAGGUAAGACCAUAAAACAAAACAAGUUAUUACCAAAAGGUCGAUAAUAAGUUACAACAAAUCACCAUCACAAAAAGGAUGAAGGUACAAUUAAACAACAAAACUCGUUAUCUCCAAAAGGAUCAUAAUGAGUCAACAAUCACCAUCACCAAAAGGGUGAAGGUAAGAUCAAAACAAAUCCCGUUAUCACCAAAAGGAUGAUAAUCAGUCCACAAUCACCAUCACCAAAAGGAUGAAGGUGAGACCAUAACUUCAAAACUUGUUACCACCAAAAGGAUGAUACCAGGUUAUAAUAACUUCAAAUAUCACUGGCACCAAAAGGAUGACAGUAAGAUUAAACAACAAAACUUGAUUAUCCCUAAAAGGAUGAUAAUCAGGUUGAACUAGACAUCAUCACCAAAAGGAUGAUGAUUAGACAUAAUAACAGAGAUCACCAUCAACAAAAGGAUGAUAGUUGAACCCAAAAAGACAAGGAUCCCUAUUACCACAAGGAUCACCGACACCAAAAGGAUGACAGUACAAAUGUCAAGGAUUUACCAUUACCAAAAGGAUAACGAUUAUGUAAACAGGACGAUGAUCAUUAUUCAUCAAGGGACUUUCAUCAAAAGGAUGAUAUCAAGAGAAACCUGUGGGAAAAUCAGACUACCGACAACAGUUCAAAUGGAACGGACUUGUUGAGUAGUAUUGGUACAUUACUGUGUAAGACUUGCUUGGGGUAUCCACAACAAAAGGUUGCAGAAAAAUAUUCUCUGGAAAGAUUUAAUUUUCACUUUACCAAAGAUUUACAGGAAACAACUCAAUGAGGGACGCUCAACGCAAAUAAGGUAGGAGCUCACUCAUAGAAAGUGACAAUGACUCAACUGAGGAUUCCCUUGGACACCUACGACUAAACCUUGGAUCUUGAUUCGUGCUAUAUGCAUAAAUGGCAUGUAUGUGUUAUGCAUGAAUUGAUGUAUGCAGUGCAUGUUUGAAUGCAAAAGAUGAUUGGUUUUUUUGGGAUUGGUCUCCGUUUUUCAAGGGCGAAGCAUUUUCUGGAAACCAAUGCUGGUCGUAUUUGUUUUUGUGUGGGUGCUAGCAAGGUGGAAUUUUUUUUUUGUAAUUGUCAAUGUGGAUUGGACUUUUCGGCUGGCAGAAGGAUCUGACUUCCCGACACUCGGUAGUUGAUGAUGUGAUGAACACACAAUAGGUGUGGAUACUCUUGGUGUCCCAUGUUUGAUCUCUUGUUAUUACGUUGUGUCCUUGCCAAUAAGGCGAUCUCGAUUUAUUUUUCUGAUGCAUUUGAGUAUCCUAUAACUGAGCAUAGCGAUAUGAUCAACGCAUGAUGAUUAUGCUUUUGAUAUGACCUAAGGAAUCUUGCCACCACAUGAUAUUGUACUAGCGUGAACUUUCGAUGUUUUGAUUGUGAUCUCAAACAGUUUCCAGUGUCUAACACAGUCUUCUUGACCAACUUGAAGAUAUGAAGGGAAUUUUCCCCUUACCACUUGUCUUGCCCCUGAUUAGCCUUUGAGGGACUGGCCCUAGACAGGCUGAGUAUUGAAGUGUUUUUCCUCCCUGAUCCACCGAUGCUUGGAGAUUUGUCUUACACUGACUACUUCUUAAGUCAACAUAAUCAAAGGAUGACAUGCCCCUGAUUCGUAGGAUUACGAGGUGGUUUUGAUUUGUGUCAACACCAACGAUCAAGUAUCUCUCGAAUUGCCCCUGGUUGUAAUUUCCUAGAUGUCAAGUGCUGACUUGCAGUAAAGAAUUGUUCAUUCAGGAAAUGGUGAUUUUAAUGCAACAGUUAUGCAUGUUUUGAAAAACAAUCAUUCAUUUGGAGUGUCGUGGUAGUGUGUGACGAGUGGACCAUGAGUCUAAAUGCGAUGUUGAUUUUAGCUAGCGUGUGAGUGAUACAGUGAGAAUAGAAAAUUAGCAAAUCUCUAGGAGUCAGUUUACUCAACCUUACUGUAGUAUGCUAUCAGAAUAAGCCUUACUUCAAUUAGGUCUUUUAAGGGUUGUAACGUGGCUUCGUUCAUGGUUAUCGAAACAAAAGGAUAUAAGGCUCAAAGCUUAUUUUAACCCAUCCCUUAUUCAUGAUGAUCUCCAAUCCUAUGUUAAGUUGAUUCAACGCACACUUUACUUUUACAAGAGUUCAACAGUGUAAAUCUCUUUAAGUGACAGUCAUCUUAUUUUGCUCUUCAUGGAUGAUGGUGACUCUUAGAUUUGGGUAUGGCGUGAAGGAGAAUUGCGGUCCAAAACGCAGCGGAAAUUAAAAUUUUCUCCUUUAGAGAUCCUUACGAAUGGUCAUGAUCAGUGAUAGAGUAUUUACCUCUUGUGACGAUUGAAACCUUUGGUGCAGAUCUCUUGUGACGAUCAAAACCUUUUUGCAGAUCCACAGAGCGAUCACGAACGUUGAACGAUGACAACGUCUCUACUCAGUCCACACGAACGGACUCCUUCAAUCUCAGUGCUAGCUGGUACGAAUGAAGGCUUUGAGUGAGAGAGAGAGAGAGAAAACGAAAAUAAUGUAACCGCAAUGAAUGCUUCUGCACAAGGGUUCUAUUUAUAGAACCACUUGUGUGGGCUUUAAGCUAAAAGGCCCACUUAAGUGUAUUUUGGCCCAUAUCUUAUAAUAUGCCCAAAAUCACUUAAGCCCAUGGUACCUUACCAUAUUUCGUAUUCUACUCAAGUACACCGUACCUUACGAUGUUCUAUAAUUCACUUAAGGGCACCGUACCUUACGGUAUUCCUUAGUUACUCUAUCUCUCAUCAAUCCGUCCUUUGUGUGUGACCCUGUAGGUUUUCGUGACGUUGGCAAUUAUAUUAAAUCACGCAUUUAACAUAAUAAACAGUGAGCGGUAUCUAGCAACACAUCACUGCUACCCAAGACACGAAAAUGUCAUGUGAUCUGACAAUUCCUUCUGUGAUAAUACUUAUGUGUAUAAUUACCCUUUUGCCCUUAUGUCUAUAUUGAACACAAGGCAUAGACCGUGUCAUCCUUGUCCAGUUCAAUAUUGGGCCCAUAGACAUUUAUCCUGUUACGCAGGAUGGGAAAAUUCCAUCUAGGUCACUCAUGUCCCUCAGCAUGCUUCGUGGAGUACCCAUCAACUGUCUUUAUGGUUAUCCAGUUACGGACAACGUUGGAUCAGCAAUAAAGCACUCGACUCUACAUCUAGGAUCCAUAGUGGUUUCAGGUCGAAGAGUGGAAUACACUAUUAUCACCAUGAGAAUAACUUAUGACACUUUGCAUAACUUUCUAUAUAGUAUUCUCAUAGCGGGUCAAUCCGGUAUAAAUAUUACUCCUAAUAUUCAUACCUAUGUUUAAGACUUGAUAACUCUUUAUCCAUGAUCCAUGAGAUGUGAUCAUCAGUCUACAAACAUAAUAGUCUUAAUGCUUUAAUGUUAUCCCACUUCACACUAAAGCUCGACUACGGAUACUUUAAGAAUAGUGUCCUUAUGUUUAAUGUGUUCUCAUGAUUAAGUCACACUUAAUACAUUAAACGGACUAUCUAUUCCAGGGACUUUAUUAAUCAACCAUAAUAAAGAAAAUGCCUUUUAUUAUUAAUAAAUAAUUCGAUACAAGUACCAAAAGUAUUGGCCUCUAGGGCUUACACCAACAAUCUCCCACUAGCACUAGAGCUAAUCAGGCAUACCCUUAAUACCCAUAGAUCUAGUAUGGCCAUCAUGCUUCUUCUGCGCAAGAGGCUUUGUCAGUGAGUCAGCAAUAUUGUCAAGUGUAGGUACUCUGCAUAUUUUCACAUCUCCUCUAUCUAUUAUCUCUCGAAUGAGAUGACGCCUAAGUAUGUGUUUGGAUCGUUGGUGAGAUCUAGGCUCCUUAGCUUGUGCGAUAGCACCAUUGUUAUCACAGUAGAGACCAAUGGGAUCUACAAUGCUAGGAACUAUGCCAAGUUCACUAAUGAACUUUUUGAUCCAAACAGCUCCCUUUGUUGCACUUGAGGCAGCAAUAUACUCGGCCUCGGUUGUAGAAUCAGCAACUGUAUCUUGCUUUGAACUUUUCCAGCUCACAGCGCCACCAUUUAAGCAAAACAAAUAACCAGAUUGCGAUCUAAAGUCAUCCUUAUCUGUCUGGAAGCUAGCAUCGGUGUAUCCAAUUACAACCAACUCUUCCUCACCUCCAUAUAUCAAGAAUGAGUCCUUAGUCCUUCUUAAAUACUUAAGGAUAUUCUUGACAGUUACCCAGUGAGCAUCACCAGGAUCAGAUUGGUACCUACUCGUUGCACUUAAAGCAGAUGCAUAUGGAAUCUUAUUCAUGCGAUCCCUUUCUUCCUUAGUUAAAGGGGAUUGUGUUUUUGAUAGACACAGGCCAUGUUGCAUAGGUAUGAAUCCUUUCUUGGAAUCAUGCAUAUUAAAGUGUCUCAACACUUUGUCUAUGUAUGUACUCUGACUUAGGCCAAGCAGUUUUUGUGAUCUAUCUCUAUAGAUUCUGAUUCCUAAUAUAUAGGCUGCUUCACCUAGGUCCUUCAUAGAAAAGCAUUUCCCCAACCAAGACUUUACUUGUUGUAGGGUAGGGAUAUCGUUUCCAAUGAGUAAUAUGUCAUCUACAUAUAAUACCAGGAAAACGAUCAUGCUCCCACUAACCUUCUUGUAGACACAAGGCUCAUCUUCGUUCUUGAUGAAUCCAUAUUGUUUUACUGUUUCAUCAAAACGAAGAUUCCAGCUUCUGGAAGCUUGCUUCAAUCCAUAGAUUGAUCUUUGUAACUUACAUAUCUUUUGGGCUUCUUCUGGUAUGUCAAAUCCUUCAGGCUGUGUCAUGUACACAUCCUCAAGAAGAUUCCCAUUAAGGAAAGCAGUUUUGACAUCCAUCUGCCAUAUUUCAUAAUCAUGAUAUGCAGCGAUAGCAAGUAAAAUCCGAACAGAUUUAAGCAUUGCAACUGGUGAAAAGGUUUCAUCAUAGUCAACCCCAUGAAUUUGUUUAUAUCCUUUUGCAACCAGUCUUACCUUAUAGGUAUGUACCUUACCAUCCAUGUCAGUCUUCUUUUUGAAGACCCACUUGCAUCCUAUAGGGUUAACUCCUACAGGAGGCUCUACCAAGGUCCAAACUUGGUUUGUGUACAUGGAAUCCAUUUCAGAUUUCAUGGCUUCUAGCCACUUCUCAGACUCGGGACCAGUUAUGGCCUCUUGGUAGGUCACAGGCUCAUCUUGAUCCAUGAGUAAUACAUCACCUUGAUCUGUUAUGAGAUAUCCAUAUCUCUCAGGUAGGUGACGUAUCCUGCUUGACCUACGCUGGUCUUGUUCUACUUGAGCAGGUUGCUCUUCCACAACUACUUGUGUUUCCUGCUCUAAUUCCUCCAUAGGUGUAUCGAUGCUUUGUGAUUCUUGAAUUUCUUCAAGCUCUACUUUCCUCCCACUGGUUCCUUUGGAAAUAAAAUCCUUUUCUAGGAAAACUCCAGUUCGAGCGACAAACACUUUGCCCUCAGAAGGAUUGUAGAAGUAAUACCCUCUUGUUUCUUUAGGAUACCCCACAAAUAAGCAUUUGUCAGAUUUGGGCUCAAGCUUAGUUGAAAUUUGUCGUUUCACAUAAACUUCGCAACCCCAAAUCUUCAUGUAAGACAUAUGUGGUUUCUUACCACUCCAUAUCUCAUAUGGUGUCUUCUCAACCUUUUUGGAUGGAACACGGUUAAGUGUGUAAGCUGCUGUCAAUAGUGCAUGUCCCCAAAAGGAGUUUGGAAGAUCGGCGUGACUCAUCAUGGAUCGGACCAUGUCUAACAGGGUUCGAUUUCUUCUCUCAGAUACACCAUUCCAUUGGGGUGUUCCAGGAGGAGUAAGUUGGGAUAGGAUCCCACACUCUUUCAGAUGGUCAUCAAACUCUAGGCUUAAAUACUCACCACCUCGAUCUGAUCGAAGAGUUUUAAUAUUCUUACCUAGUUGGUUUUGUACUUCAUUCUUGAAUUCCUUGAACUUUUCAAAGGACUCUGAUUUGUGUUUCAUUAAAUACACAUAACCAUAUCUACUGAAAUCAUCAGUAAAUGUGAUGAAGUACUGAAAACCUCCUCUGGCUGGUAUGUUCAGUGGUCCACAUACAUCAGUAUGUAUGAGGGCCAAAAGAUCAUUAGCUCUUUCACCUUUUCUUGUGAAUGGAGAUUUUUGUCAUCUUCCAAGUACUUUGGGCAGUUUCUCUUCCAGUGUCCGGUCUUACCGCAAUGGAAGCAUGUGCCUGCCUUUGUUAUGCCUCCACUAGGCUUCAAAGCAGCAACAGUGGGUCUGGGUUUGGCAACUUCCUUGCCCUUCCCUUUAUCACCCUGCUUGGUGGGCCUUUUGUUCUGUCUCUUCCCAUUUCUGAUCAUCAGAAUGGACUUCCUUUUUGUCUUCAGAUUCUGCUAAGUAGUUCUUAACAUGUCUAGCAGUUCGUGAAGAGAUUUGUCCAUAUCAUUCAGAUUGAAAUUUAGGAAAAAUUGACUGAAUCCAUCUGGCAACGAUUGCAAGAUCAAAUCACUCGCAAGUUCCCUUACGAGGGGAAAACCCAAUCAUUAUGAGCACAUGGGGACCUACAGGGGCUCCUCAGCUAACUUGCCUUGAAAAAGGCCUUUUGAAACUUCAAACCUUUCAUGCCUUGCUUGCUCUUGAUAGAGCAUCUUCAGGUGUUUGAUCAUAUCGAACGCUGUCAUGUUCUCAUGUUGCUUUUGCAACUCUGAGUUCAUGACAUCCAGAAUGAGACAAGCAGUUUCAUUGACAUCAUCGACAUGCUUCUUAUAAGCAUCUCUUUCUGCCUUAGUGGCAGAACUAGGAGGUUCCUAUUCAGGAACAGGUGUCUCCAAGACAUACAGCUUUCUAUUAUUUUUUAGGACAAUCCUCAUGUUUCGGUGCCAAUCCAGAAAAUUUGUCCCAUACAAUUUUUCCUUGUCAAGGAUUGAUCGCAAAAUGUUGUUAGAGGUGUUUGUUGUCCUGGUAAUCUACAUAAGGAUUAAUGAAAAUAUAAGUAUCAUUGACAUAUUUAAUUAGGCCUUUAAUUAAAUAUGCUCCCACUAUUUUACUCAAAACAAAUGACCCUCAUCAUUUGAUUUGGAAAAUCUCGUUGGAAGAUUUUCUAGUGGGUCGAGAUCCAUAUUUCACUUUGUUCUAAGUCCACGUAGGCGGAUUACAUAAAACUAGGUUAUUUAGGUAUGAACUCCUUCCAAUUGUAUCUCAUACAACUCUAAAAAAUUUCAGUUGGGUGAAUAACUCCUUAUUCCAAUCCAUCAUAUGGAUCAUUCCCAACUCUUGCUUCUAAACAUAUAUAAUCUUAUUAUAAUUUAUUUUGUUAAGUUUGACCCAUUGUUUUAGCAAUUGGAUAUUACAAUUAUCCCAUCGCACCUUACUAAUAUAGAACAUGCACCUCGCGUAGGCGAAACCUACAUUAUCCGAUACUAGUCUUGAUGAGUGGUAAAACUUGGAAAGCAUAAACUUAAUAUUUAAUUUGAGGGAAUUGUAAUUGUUNUGCGGGCUAGGUGAAGCAGAUGAAAGGUGAGUGAAGAUUACGACUUCAACAGCUCUUAAUCCCUGCUCCAGGGAGAGCUUCAGCACAAAGGCAGCGUGGGCCAGAAUGGCAGGACCCUUCUACGCUCAAGACUCGUGACUCGAUUAGCUGCCAACAACACAAGAUCUUGGGUUUGUGAUCCCAUGCCAUCCAACACACAUCCGUGUGAGGCAGACGGGACGGAGCUCAACAGAAUAGUGAGGGAUAGAUUGCAUAUCCCUUUGAAUCCACCAAUUGCCUCUAUAAAGGUACUUUUCGCUUGUUGGCAGACAAAUGUUAAACAACCACAAAGCAAUCGCUUCAAGGAGGCGUUCAGACAGUUGCCUGGCCAAUAACAGGCCAAGUCUUCCACCGACAACUGAAGUAUAAGAGAUUCUACCCUCAACUGGUUAAAAAAACCAAAAAAGCAGCAGGAAGCACAGUUUCGUAGAACUGUAAGCAAACUAAAUGUACCUAAAUCAAUAAAGUAUUCAAUCAAUACUCAGACAAACCAACAAAUAACGCAAAGGUUAAUCUAUACAGACAACACAAGUUAAUUGCACAUACAUGCAAGCCAUGAGCUCAAAGCUCAAGCAGUCAAACCUACAACCCAACAUAACGCUUAGUGAGAACAAACAUCACAAACUCAAUUCAAAUUGCCGUGAAGCAAAUCUCCUUAAGGCAUUGUCGCAAUUUAUCCUUAAAAGUGAUAGGCAGUGAAUGAAUUUGGAAGCCUAUUGCGCCGCAAUUCUCAAACCGGUACCAUCAUGCAUGCAUAGGGGAAUAUGAUUGGAAAAGAUAGAUUAGCUCAAAGGGUCACUCCAAUGCUCGAGAAAUUGCAAUUUGCCAUUGAUGAACCAAUUGCAUGAACAGUUGCAAUCUUUGAUGCGUUAUUUAUGAUUCCUCAAACCAGUCCAAGCCACAUGAUCCUAUGGAAGAGGAAGCAAAAAGCAUUUCGUGAAAUGAUGAGAAUUGAUGACAGUUUCAAUGGAUAUUGGUUGAUGAAGGUUCUUGAUGAAUUUUGCAAUUUGGAGGGAAAAACAGUUAAUAAAUUUCUUGUGUGAUUUGUGCGAUUGUGAUCCAAAUUCAGGUUUAUGAUUAAGCUCUUAUUUACUUCAAUUAAUCACCUGUCUAAUCACCAAUUAGCAAAUGACAUGUAAUUAGCAUAAUGCAAUUUCUUAAGGACAAGGGCAAAAUUGGUAUUUCACCAUCAGGCUUCUUGUGACGCUGUUGACAGCUCAGACACCCUUCCAAAUUCAUAUUGUGAUGUGUUGGCCAUUGGUCCCACAAUCAAUUGGCAUUAGUAUUUCUCAUUUAUCCUAUUGUUAUGCCAAAUCUAUGCAAUUUCAAGUGACAGUUCCAAAUGACUAACCAAAUAUUGCCACCUUUGAGCACCUAUUGGUGACAAUAUCAAACCAUCUCCAAUUGGCAUAUGUGACACGGUCAUGUGGCAAAAACUCCCAUGCAAGAAUUCCAAUUAUUUCCUCAACUUGGGAACCAUUCUUGCCCUUGGUUUUUAAUUGUCACUUGAAAAAUACCUUUUCCAUUGACAUUUUUGAUGAAUUUUGAUUAUUGCACCAAUGAAAAGUACACUGUGAAAUGGGAGCUUUGCUCAUACAAAAGAUACACUCAUUUUUGACAUUCAUGUGAAAGUUAUGCACUUUGAUUAAUGGGUCAGUUCUUGAAAUUGAAUGGGACCAUAACUUGCCAACCAGUAACAUUUGGGAAGUUGUCAAGUUCUGGACUUUUUGAGAAAAGGUGAGAACCGAGAUCUACAACUUUCAUGUUAACAAAUUUUCAUUUGAGCUUCCUUGGACAUUGUAAUUUUGUGGUCAAAACUUUCCAUUAGUGAAAACUUUCCCAUUACAAGAUCACUUUCUUUUUGGCCAAUUUUGGCCACCCAUUUAUUUUCUUCAUUCUUGAGAGGCCUUAAUGACUUCUACCUCUACCUCCCGAAACUGCUGAUUAGCCGAUACGCUAUUACUGGAAGGAAAUCAAAGCAAUGUCAAAAACACAUUGUAUCCAACCAAUGAAUUAGAAGGGUAUCUAACUCAAUUCCAACGCUCCAAAGUCCUCAAAUCAAGCACAGUGACCACAGGUGACUUUUCCAACUGAUUAGAUGAAAUUUGGCAAUGCACUGAUCAAUCGGAGCCCCAAUUCCUCUAAAUGAACAUGGCUUCAAAGGAUGAACCCUGAGCCUCAAGAAUCUCAAUAGAAACCACAUGCAUGCUCCCCAUAUCCGACUGCAUAAGACCCUAUUCCUUGCUACUGUACCCUAUUGGCCCACAUGCAACUGAUGUUAGGGUUGACCCAGUUCGUCAAAAACCCUCAAUCUCAAGAAAAAAAAAAAAAAAAGACUAUGUCCACACUUGAUGAUGACAAACCGAUUAAAUGAUGAUGUAUCAUUUCAAACAAGAUGAAGACCAAUCCCUGGAGAAUCAAAAACCCUAAUUUGGACCGCCACAUCCUCAAAUGAUAAUGACCAGUCACAAUGAAACCCUAGUUGCACCAUGACCUCUAUUCAGCUCUCUUCAUCGAGGACUUGUGCAGGAUGACUUGCAACUGUUAACCACAUAUAUCGCAAUAUGCCAAUGCCUAAUGACCUAAAAAUGAUAUGUAUAUGUUAUGCUAGUCCCAAAGAGAGGCAGGGCCAAAUUUUCAGGCUGCUUACAUUAACCUAAUAACAAUCUAAAGCUUGCUCCAAGCAAGAUUGUCAGGCUUGUCCUCCUUUAGAGUGAAUUCUUCUCUUUCUUCAUAACAUGUCUUCUUUUCUUUCUUCAUAACAUUACAUUACAGAAGAAACUCGUUUUACAUACGAGGGAUUGAGAUGAGAAAAGAAGUUACAUUAAGAGAUUAAAAGGAGAGGCACGACACGCAGGUCGUAUUUUUAAAAAACCCAAAACAAAAUGAAGGAAGACUAAGGCCAUAACUGAUCACAACAAGGCAAUAAUAAGAAACACAUUAUUAUUAUUAAUUUUUAAUAUCUUUAAUUAAUUAAAACCAAAUUAAAUUUCGGCGACCGAUCAUACUACGCAGAGUUAGCCGGGGAUUCCGCUGCUCGGUCAGCGGACAGGGUUCAAGGGGGCAGCGCCCUUGUCCAAAAAUUUUAAUGAACAAUUGAUUUGAAAUGGACAUCGUUUUGCAUCAACACAACUCUUGCACAGUCACAAAACAGAAACCCCAAGAAUUCUGACUCUGUGAGUGUGACGACCGUCACAAGCAUGUUACGACCGUCACAAGCUUGUUACGACCGUCACAGGCCCAUGACGAGCGUCACGCGGCCAAAAACAGAAACGCCUAGAAUUCUGGAACGACCGUCACAAGCUUGUUACGACCGUCACAGGCCCAUGACGAGCGUCACGCGGCCAAAAACAGAAACGCCUAGAAUUCUGGAUUUGUGAGUGUGACGACCGUCACAAAGCACGUGACGACCGUCACCUCCAGCUUGUUACGAUCGUCACAAGCUCGUGACGAACGUCACGCGCCCAAAAUAACAGAACUUUGAAACAGUCAACAGACGUGUUCCACAAAGCCCUAAAUUCACAACUCCUUGACGGCACAACACUUGUGCCGUCCCUAACCCUAAUGCACCAAUUUCAGACUGUCAAACACACCUCGAUUAUUGAUUCAGUAUGAUCGAUCAACGGGUCAUUGCUUCACCAUACUAAUGUCAGAUUUCGAAGCAAAUGACCAUUGAUCGCUCAAAGGAAAACAACCACUUAGUGUUUGAAUGAAUGAAACAGAAACAGUAUAUCAUAUAUACCGUACUUUGCAUUAGGAUUACUUAUAUCAUAUAUAAGUUGAUCGGUCUCAUAACGCAUUGUAUACCUGCUAGCUACAUAGCGACGAAGUGGUAACUAAUGUCGGUUCCGAAGCAUAGUCAACAUCAAUCAUCCAACUCGUACACUCAUGAUGCCAAAUUUAAUUACCCGUCUAAUUAAUUGAUUCAUUUUGUCUUUUAAUCAUAUUAAUAUAGAAAAUAAACAGCUAUCCGAGUCAUGGUUUCGUAAGUGGCUCUGAUACCACUGAAGGAGAAUUGCGGUCCAAAACGAAGCGGAAAUUAAAAUGUUCUCCUUUAGAGAUCCUUACGAAUGGUCAUGAUCAGUGAUAGACUAUUUACCUCUUGUGACGAUUGAAACCUUUGGUGCAGAUCUCUUGUGACGAUCAAAACCUUUUUGCAGAUCCACAGAGCGAUCACGAACGUUGAACGAUGACAACGUCUCUACUCAGUCCACACGAAUGGAUUUCUUCAAUCUCAGUGCUAGCUGGUACGAAUAAAGGCUUUGAGUGAGAAAGAGAGAGAGAAAACGAAACUAAUGCAACCGCAAUGAAUGCUUCUGCACAAGUGUUUUAUUUAUAGAACCACUUGUAUGGGCUUUAAGCUAAAAGGCCCACUUAAGUGUAUUUUGGCCCAUAUCUUAUAAUAUGCCCAAAAUCACUUAAGCCCAUGGUACCUUACCAUAUUUCGUAUUCUACUCAAGUACACCGUACCUUACGAUGUUCCUAUAAUCACUUAGGGCACCGUCUCCUUACGGGUAUUCCUGUAGUUACUCCUAUCUCUAUCAUCGUCACUUUGUUGUGUGUGACCCUGUAGGUUUUCGUGACGUUGGAAAUUAUAUUAAAUCACGCAUUUAACAUAAUAAACAGUGAGCGGUAUCUAGCAACACAUCACUGCUACCCAAGACACGAAAAUUUCAUGUGAUCUGACAAUUCCUUCUGUGAUAAUACUUAUGUGUAUAAUUACCCUUUUGCCCUUAUGUCUAUAUUGAACACAAGGCAUAUACCGUGUCAUCCUUGUCUAGUUCAAUAUUGGGACCAUAGACAUUUAUCCUGUUAUGCAGGAUGGGCAAAUUCCAUCUAGGUCACCCAUGUCCCUCAGCAUGCUUCGUGGAGUACCCAUCAACUGUCUUUAUGGUUAUCCAGUUACGGAUAACGUUUGAUCAUCAAUAAAGCACUCGACUCUACAUCUAGGGUCCAUAGUGGUUUCAGGUCCAAGAGUGGUAUACACCAUUAUCACCAUGAGAAUAAAUUAUGACACUUUGCAUAACUUUCUAUAUAGUAUUCUCAUAGCGGGUCAAUCCGGUAUAAAUAUUACUCUUAAUAUUCAUACCUAUGUUAAGACUUGAUAACCCUAUCCAUGAUCCAUGAGAUAUGAUCAUCAGCUAAUAUACAUAAUAGUCUUAAUGCUUUAAUGUCAUCCCACUUCACAAUAAAGCUCGACUACGGAUACUUUAAGAAUAAUGUCCUUAUGUUUAAUGUGAUCUCAUGAUUAAGUCAUACUUGAUACAUUACACAGACUAGCUAUUCUAGGGACUUUAUUAAACAAACGUAAUAAAGAAAAAACCUUUUAUUAUUAAUAAAUAAUUUGAUACAAGUACCAAAAGUAUUGGCCUCUAGGGCUUACACCAACAUGGUGGCCACCUAUUUUUGUUUUAUUGAGGACUUUCAUUGUCACUCUCGAUUUUUGUUUUGAUCCCUAAUUUUUGCAUGGAGUUCCUUUUGAAGCUUUAAUCCAUCGGAAUUGCCCCAAUUUUUGCCUAAGUCUCCACUUUGAUUUUUUUGAAAACUUUGACUGCCAAGUCAUUGUUCAUUAAAGAACGACCAACAUAACUUUUGGAUUUUGUAUGGUUUCUUCGACACUUCAGGAUGUUUUGCGAAGAAUAUUAUGUGGUUGAUCCGUAUAUGGGACAUCUCAUCUUGUAAUUUGACCGCUUAGUCAGAUCGAAUGAACACUUCCCUUCCCCAGGUUAAGCGUAAGGGUUUGUAGAUCCGAAAGAAACUCCUACUUCUAGGCUCGAAGUGGUUGACUAGGGAUUGACUCCUUAUCUCUCCAGUUUUUGGGGAUUUGAAACAAUGCCUAUACAUCAUUAGCAGGAUUUUAUCCGAAAGCAUACAAUCAACAAUUAUGAGUAUUUUAUUUUCGUCAUCCCUAGUCAUAAAGAGGUGGUUCUAUAAGACCUGUUGACUAGGCCAACUCAGUUUAUGCCUUCGAGGAUACAUAGUGAUGGUUGAUCUGAUUUCGGUGGAUGCUUAGUUAUGUUUGAGGGGUUUCAUUAUUAUCUUGUUGAAAUCACUUGAGGUAGCCCUUGGGGCAACAUUGUAAUAAUUUUACUCUUUGUUUCAUCAUUAUGAAUAUAAAAGGGUUUAUUAUCUAUCAGUUAAUCUUGUGCCUUUAUUUCCUAUGCUUUAUGAUUGCCUGCAACAAAUAAAGACUCGAGCAUUCCUUGAGAAAUAAUAAUCAAAAAUAUUUUUACAUAAAAAUCCCAUUCAUUCAUUUGCACUUUUCUAUCCUAAAUACAAAAUGCUUACAUCCUUCUUCAUCCUCUUCAGAAAGACGACGACUCACCGGUACUUCACCAAAUCUAGAACAAAGAAUUAUGUUUGAUUUUGAAUAAGAAAACGCUGCAACAAGGGAGGCUCUGACUCUUCUCCAAGGACAUAUGGGUACCAUCCUAGAACAUCUACAAACUUAGAGGGGCAAUGUUGUUGUUGUCAAUCAGGAUGAUGCUACUAUGUUGACUUCUGCUGCUGACACAACUCUUGUCGUGAUGGAUGCUACUGAUCAUGUUGUUCAACCUGCUAUUGUUAGCCAGCCUUUAUCUCAAGCUGGUCCUAAUAGGUUUGUUGUUGCCUACCCGUGGGGAAUUCCUCACACCUACAAGCCUCAGUUUGCUAAUGGAAAUACGUUCAUGUCAUACCAGUCCUAUGAUGUCGCUCUUGCUAUUGUGAAUGAUGUUGUAUUCCAGUGGGGAAUGCCCAAUCCUUACUCUUCUCAAGGGGUUGAAACAGAAGAGACACCUGUUGCCGCUGAAGAUCAGUAACUUGCGCAUAUGGGUCCUCAUCUCAAUUUCCAUAUCUUUGCUCCGCUUGUUCAGCCAAAUCCUUAUGCUUAUACUGCUAUGGUUCAACCGUUUACUAAUAACAUUGCGCUCCAGUAUGCCCAUUCUGGGGCACAUCUUGUCAAGUGAGUUUCCGACUUUGACAAUUUCCUACUUCUCUUCCUAACCAUGUCAGUCUAUGUGCUUUGCUAAGACCCUUGUCAUAUGAGCCUCCCGCUUGGACAAGUUCCUUCUUCUCUUCCUUACCAUCUCAAUCCUUGUGCUUUAGUAAGACCCUUGUCAUGUGAAUCUCCAGCUUUGACAAGUUCCUGCUUCCUUCCUUACCAUGUUAGACCCAAUUCUUUGGCAAGACCCUUGUCAUGUGAGUCUCCGGAUUUGAGAAGUUCUUGCUAUCCUUCCAUACCAUGUUAGACUCAGUGCUUUAGUAAGACCCUUGUCAUGUGAGUCUCCGGUUUUGACAAGUUUCCUUUUCGUUGGUUUAAACACCAUUGCAAUUCCUUUUAUUUUGGGACACACCUUUAUGGUUAACCCCCAUCCUUUUCUGUUGGUUUAAACACCACCCUCGAUCUUAUCUUUUUCUCAAUCGUUAUUAUCCGAACUACGGAGCUCUGACUUUCUCAUUUCACUAUGAGAAUACAUAACCACGAUGAUGUGAAUCCUUUGUGAGCACUUUUAUUUCUUUUCCCUUUUUUUCUCCCUGGUUCUUCGAACUAUGAGGCUCUGACUUUCUCAUUGCACCAUGAGAAUACGCAGGCAUGACGACCUUAAUCCUCCUCGAGAACUUCUUUUUCUAACCCUUUUUUGUUUUGCAGGAACAUGAAUAUAACAACACCCAUCCAAGCAAGAGCAUUAGAGACGAUUCCCAUGGAGUACCAUGUAUGCGAGGGGUUCUAAUACCUUCCCCUUGCAUAACUGAUUCCCUUACUCGUUUCUCUGUGUUUUUUCCCCUUGGGUUUUUUCUAUGUUUUCCCUUCCCUCUUUUGGGAUAAAUAAAGUUUGGUGGCAACUUUGUUGUACCUUCGAGCGUGCAAUACGUUCGGUGGGGAUAUUUCAACUAGCUUCAGUCAUGGAUCAUUGAAACUUGACAUACAACCCAUUCAUCACUUUCACCAACAUUCAAACUCAUGUUCAAAGCUUUAGUUAUCCAACAAUUGCAUAAAAUCAUAUAUUCAUAAACAUAAUGAUUCACGCAUGAAUUCAGUUGCAACAAUCACAUAAUCAACAUAAUCAAUCAUCACAUUUUCAUAUUGUAACAUACCAACAACACAUAAAAACAUAAUUUUACACAAUCCUAAUGAGAGUAAGGAUACCUAUUCUUAAUCAUUUCAUGCUAUACACCCAUAUAAAAGCUCUUUAUCCCCCAUUACCUUGAUUCCUUGCAAAACUAUGAAUUGAUUAAGGUUUUUGAUUAUAGAUCUCCCUCCUUCAAUCCUUAGUCUUGUUCUUGCCUAAUCUCUCUAAGUUAUGUCUUCACAUACUGACAACUCUACGGUCUUUAAUCCUCUUUUUAUCUCUAAGAUUUAAUUUAAACUAUUGAUAAUUACACUAAAGCCCAACUAAAACAUAAACUCUCUCCACUACCCAUCAAAUUUUCCUUUAUGUCAAUUCAGCUCCAACUCCACUAAUUCUCAUUUUAUUUUAAUUAAUUAAUUAAUAUAACUAUACAUUCUAAUCAUUUAAUAUUAAAUUAACUAUUCUAAUCCUUCUAAUUAUUCUCCACCCUAUAAAUGCUCUCACCUUACCCCAUCAUACCCAUAUACAUACUGUAGCGGUAAAUUCAUGACCAUCAAGUUAUGGAUAAACUUGACGUCAAAAAACUAGAGUCGCAACCGUGUUUUAUUGUUUCCAAAGGAAAAGGGAAAAGUACGAACAAAAGCCAAAGAUAAGAAGUUUUUAAAUCAAAACUAAUAAAAUUCCAGAGAUUACAGGUAAGGGGGUUGGUUACACAGACGGAAGGUGUUAGCACCUAAAGUGUCAUAGGUACUCCUAGGGAGCCCUUGUUUAUGUGUGCAUGUGUUUUUGGUAUAAAAGAUGUUUGAACAAAAAUGGAUUGUGGGGGGUGAGAAAAUAAUUCAUUAAUUAUAUUUUAGUGUUUGACAAGACCUUGGAACUCGUGCCUACGUGCCAACAUAAAAAUGAGGGAUCAAUACCUCAUAGUUUAUGGUAAAAAAUUUAAAUGAGUUGGUGAAUUGAUUUUAACAAAAGUUAAUAAGAGAAGGCACAAAGGGGCUAAAAGUUUGAAUGGAGUUGUUAGUUCUUUUUGUCUUUUGAAAUUUCAAGUCAAUAUGAUUAAGUUUAGUCACAAAUUUGUUUUAAGAAAAUGUUUGAAAAUUCAAUGGCAUAAGGCCAAAGUUUCUAUUUAUUAAAACAAAGUCUCAGUUUGAAAUCACAAGCCAAGAAAGUUUUUGAAAAGGGGGAGAGAUUUUGAAAUUUAAGAAGUGGGAGGAGAUGAAGAGGCUAUCCUAAGCACAAAUUUAAAAGUUAAGAGUUGAAAAGAUCUGACCAAUGGGAUACAAUCCAAUAGACAAGAAUGUCAUAUGGAAACCCAUUUUUCUUUGGACUUUAAUCAAGCAAUGAUCAAUAAGCAAUGAUUAAUAUCCAAACAUCAUGAAGAUCAAGGCAUCAAAUAAAGAUAGCCACAUCCAAGUAAGAAACUCCAUUAGCUAGCAAUCUUCAUUGUCUUUUAAUGCAUCAGAUGAAAUAUUCCUUGAUCAACUCAGAACAGAGCAUUAGACACAAGAUCAAAAUAACAAUUAAGCACAAAGACAGAGUAGCAGAUGAACCCAAGAAAUUCCUAAGGCUUGUAUCAGAUAAAGGCACAAUCCAAAACAGCCUAGUCUCAAGAUGUUGCCUAAUCCUAAGUCCAAAAGUUCAGAACAAGUUCAACAGUCCACAAGAUGUUUUUUGGGUUUUUGUUGUUAUUAGGUACUUUAAGGUCCUAAGACCACAAACAAAACCAAAACACAUAAACAAAUAUAUAGAAUCACAAGAUAUGGCUCAAAUUGUUGGUGAUUUUAGUAUCAUCAUCGUAAUUUUAGUAGUAAUGUGAUUUACUAUAGGCCGAUGCAAUUAUGCAUUAAAGCUUGGAAACGAGUUAGGGGUAGUGCGGAGUGCAUGCUCCUCGAGUCAACGUAUAAUUGAAUGCGAAUAAUUGAAACGGGGUUCCAACGUUCGAAUUUUUUUUUGAAUUUCGAAUCCUUUCCCAACCGACGUAACCGUUUCUGAACAGUUGCGUCUUUUCGGUUUCUGUUAUUGAUCUCCUAUAUAAGGAGUCAUUUGGCCUCAGUUUGAACAAGACACAACGAAACCAAACUUUCUCUCUACAUUCCUGAAUAUUUCUCUUUGCCAAAAACAAAUUGUUCUUCAAGAAUUAUCCCCACAAAGAUUUCGUGAACCCAGGCAAGAAUAGGGUCGAAAUACUUUGUUCAGAAAGUGUACGAACACGAUUCUUCGAAGUUAUCCAGGAAUAUCAUACCCAAUUUUCUAACAAACGAACAAAGUAAUUUCUGAUAAUCAUGGCUGGAGGAAGCACCGUCAAGGAGAUGACUACAAACUUCGGAAAAUUGGACAAGUUUCAAGGACAAGAAUUCAGGCGUUGGGAAAAGAAGAUGCAUUUCAUGUUGACAACGUUGAAGGUGGUGCACGUCCUGUCUACACCGAUUCCAGAACUUCUGGAGGAAGACACGGUUGAAAAUAUGAGACGUAGAUCAAAAUGGGAAAACGACGACUACAUAUGCAGAGGGCACAUUCUUAACGGUAUGUCUGAUCCCUUAUUUGAUAUUUAUCAAAACAUAGAUAGACGUUUCCUUAACACCCUAACAGAGCUUAGGUUCAUGUACCGUGAGGACUCAUCCAGUAAAAAGUUCCUGGUAACCAAUUUCAACAAUUACAAAAUGGUUGAAUCGAGGUCUGUCAUGGAACAAUUCAAUGAACUCCUCCGAAUCCUUGGAUAGUUCACACAACACGGAUUGAAGAUGGAUGAAACAAUAUCUGUCUCAAGCAUCAUAGACAAGUUGCCUCCUUCGUGGAAGGACUUCAAACACAAUCUGAAGCAUGGAAAAGACGAACUGUCUUUGAUCCAACUUGGAAGUCACUUACGCAUAGAAGAAUCUCUAAGAGCGCAGGAGGAUGACAAAGGAAAAGGCAAAGAAAUUGUUGGACCCUUGGUUAAUAUGGUCGAAGAGGGUGGUAAGAACGGUAACAACAAAAACAAAGGAAAGAAGCGUGCUUUCAAGAACAAUAAGGGCAGUUUCGGUACUAACAAGAAACCGAAACUAGAAUGCUGGAAGUGUAGCCAAACAGGCCACUUCAAGAAGCAUUGUCGUUCCGGAAAAAAGCAUGAUAACGCGAAUGCAAGUGGUUCAGGAAAGGGGCCUAAGGACCAAUCCGAAAACCAAGGUCAGAAAUCAAUUCGUGAUUGAAUAGUUUGAUUAAACAUUCGGUUUCACUAAAUUCUGAAGCAUUCUAUGUGCAGGAUGAUGCUAUCUCGCGUGUGGAUUGAUUCUGGCGGCUACAACACAUGUUUGCAAGGAUCGUUUCUGGUUUCAAACCUUGUGUCUCAGUGGAAGAUGGGUUCUCUCCUCUACAUGGAGAUGAUCACUUCGCUCCCGUUGAAGGCAAAGGAAACGUGGUGCUAGAAUUCAGUUCUGGAAAGACUAUUACUUUGUUUAAUAUUUUGUAUGUUCCUAAACUACGUAAGAAUUUAAUUUCUGGUCCUGUAUUAAAUAAGCUUGGAUACAAGCAAGUGUGUGAAUCCGAUAAAUAUGUUUUAUCGAAGUCUGGUGUGUGUUAGAUACCCAAAAGUGCUUAUUUGAGCUAUCAAAUAUGGGUAUCUUUCACUCCAUCUCCUUGCUAAAUUGUCGAAACCACCUUUGUUUCAGAUGAAAUGCAAUACAAUGAUAAUCUAUCUUGAUACCUUUGAUUUGUGUGUUAUUGUGCAGGAAGUAGGCAUGAAAUAAUAGAAAAUGAAGACACAAGAAAUGAGGCAAAGGGAUCAAAUAAAACAAGCAUUCAUCAGCUUCCUCGCUAGGCGAGGGCUGUGGCGAAGGACUCGCUAGGCGAGCGUCCAGCGAAAAGCUCCAGUAUUUAACAGAGGCAAACAUCACCACACUCGCUAGGCGAGCUUCCAGCGAGGAGUGUGGCGANGGAGUCACUUGACGCAUAGAAAGAAUCUCUAAGCGCAGGAGGAUGACAAAGGAAAAGGCCAAAGAAAUUGCUGGACCCUUUAUAUGUCGAACGGGUGGUAGAACGUAAUACAACAAGAAACAAAGGAAAGAGCAGUGCUUUCAAGACAAUAAGGCAGUUCGGUACUAACAAGGAACCGGAAACUAGAAUGGCUGAGUUGUGACCAAACAGCCAACUUCAAGAGGCAUUGUCGUUCCGGCAAAAAGCAUGACUAACGCGAAUGCAUAGUGGUUCAGAAAGGGCGGCGAAGGCCAUCCGAAACCAAGGGUCAGAAAUCAGUCGUGAUUGGAAUAGUUUGGAUUAACAUCAGUUUACUAAAUUCUGAAGCUUUCUAUGUGCAGGAUGAUGCUUAUCUCGGGUGGAUUGAUUCUGGCAGCGUCAACAAUGUUUGCCAAGGAUCGUGUUCUGGGUUCAAGACUCCUUGUUCCAGUGAGAUCGUUUUGUCCCCUCUACAUGGGGAGAUGAGAUCACUUCGCUCCCUUGUGAAGGCCAAAGGAAACGUGGUGCUAGAAUUCAGGUAUGGAAAGAGCUAUUCCUUUGCUUUUAUAUUUUGUAUGUUCCUAAACUACGUUGAAUUUAUUCUGCUGGGUCCUGUAUUAAAUAAGCUUGAUACAAGCAGUGUGUUGAAUCCGAUAAUAUGUUUUUACGAAGUCUUGUGUGUUUGAAGGAGUUGGAUAUUAUAAUAUGGUAUGGUUAGAUGAAUGGGAAUGGAGUUACUAAUGAGAUUCUGCGUUUCUGUAUUUAUCUGUCCUCUUGCGAAAAUGUUAUCAAUUUCAUUCGUUAUGCAAUCUCGUCUAGGACACGUACAUUAUUAAAAGACAUGCAUGAAAUGUCUAAAGAUGAUUUAAUCCUGUUUUUGAUAAAAAUGUAGAAAAUUGUAAAAAUUGCAUGUUAACAAAGAUCACUAGGCAACCUUUAACAAGAUAACAAGGAAAUCUGUCAUUCUUGAGUUGAUACAUUGAUUUAUGUGAUUUGCAUGCUACUCCAUCAUUAGGACAUAAAAAUAUUUUGUCACUUCAUAGAUGAUGCAUCUAGAUUCUGCUAUGUUUAUUUGCUUGCAAGCUUAAGGACGAAUCUUAGAUAAAUUCAAUUUAUAAAAACUGAAGGUGAGUGCACAGAAAUGUAUUGGAUUAAAACAUUACGGACAGAUAGAGGUGUGAAUAUUAUGAUCCUGUAUUUUCCAAUCCGUAGGAAUCAUUCAUGAGACUACGACACCUUAUCACCAACACACAAAAUUGGUGUGGCAUGAAAGGAAAAAAUAGGAGUGCUUAAGGAAUGGUGAAGCUUUGUUAUCUUACUCCUGGAGAGUGAAUGGGGUUUGGAGAGCUUUGUUAACGGCUUGCUGAUUUGUUAAAUAGGGUUUCCUAAUAAAAGGAACAAGGACUACCCCAUAUGAACUUUGUAUAAGAAACGACCAAACUUUAACAUUUCUACGUGUUGUAGGGCGUGGUUAGACUCCCGAACCCAAAAGAAGUGUGAAAAGGGUGUAGUUUUGCAUCUGUUGUUGGAUAUGCUAGGCACUCCAACCUAUAGUUUAUGUAUAUACCAACUAACUCGAUCUCUAUUAACACGUAUAAAUCGAGAGAUGCCAUUUGAUAGAUGUUUCUCGUUAUAUCUAGACAAAGACUCUAUACCUAAUUCAGAUGAAUCUCUAAGGAGAAUCAUUCAAAUGAUGUGCCAAGUGAGCCACUUGAACCCCGUAGGAGCAAAAGAGCUAGAAAAAUCUAGAAUCUUAAGGAUUUGAUUUUUCAACUUAUAUUUAGUUGAGGAUCAAAGGAUCAGAUUGACACUCAAUACUAUUAUUGCUAUAGUAUAGAGGGGAUCCAAGAACGUAUGAUGAAGCUGUGAAAAUCUCUGAGAUUUUCUUGCUUUUGGAAGAAGCAAUUGACGAAGAGAUUGGUUCUAUCAUGGGAAAUAAUACUUGGGUAUUAUCUGAUUUACCACCAGGUUGCAAACAUUGGGUUGCAAAUGAUCUUCAAAAAGAAGAUGAAAGUCGAUGGUAAAAUUGACAAGUUUAAGCUAGAUUAGUUAUCCAAGGGCUUCAGACAAAAAGGAAGGGAUUAAUUAUUUCGAUACCUAUGCUCCUGUUGCCCCGUAUCACUACUAUUAGAUGUUGAUUGCCUUGGCGGCUAUUCAUAAUCAGUGAUUCAUCAAAUGGAUGUCAAACAACAUCUGAAUUGUGAUUUGGAGGGAAAGUGUAUAUGAAGCAACUGAAGGAUUGAUGCCUCGUAAUGAGCAUAAAGUGUGUAAGCUAGUUAAGUCUUGUAUGCUGAAACAAGCUCCGAAGCAAGCGUGACUUUGAUAAACAAAGGUCUUAACUAGCUACAUUUGAUGCUAUGGUAAGCUAGUUAUUGUUCUAUCAGGCUUGUUAAACCUCCAAGAUGCACACAAAAUGAGAAUUGAUACAAUCGUUAUAUAGAAAAUUGAUACUUCCGGUUAAAGGAGUUUUCAUUUGCUUAUAUUGUUGAUGACAUGUUGAUCUUCGGCACCGACCAAAAUCAAGUUGGAUAAAACAAAGAUUUCUUGUCAUCAAAGUUCUCCAUGAAGGAUAUGGGAGAGCGAACGUUAUUCUUGGUAUUAAGAUUAAACGGCGAGAAUAAGGGGAUUGUAAUUACGCAAUCUCAUUACAUUGAAAAAUACUCAAGAAGUUCAAUUAUGAAAGUUAAUUCUCCAGUAAGUACUUCCCAUGGAUCGUGAGAAAAGCUUUAUGCCAAAAUACAGGUAAACCUGUGGAUCAACUCGAAUAUUCAAAAGCUAUAGGCUUCUUUGAGUUGCUAUGAUUAGCACUUAGACCGGAUAUUUCUUAUGUGGUUGGAAAGUUGAGCAAAUUACUAGUAAUCCUAGUAGACAUCAUUGGCAUGCGAUUAACUAGGGUAUUCAAGUACUUGAAGGGUACAAUGAAUUAUGGAUUGUCAUAUAUGGGAUUUCCUUCGGUGUUUAGAGGUUAUGGAUGCUAGUUGGAUAAAUAAUGUUGGAAGAUUUCAUCCUCUACAAGUGGCAUGGGUGUUGCUUGGGGGAGGGUGCCAUCUCAUGGGCUUCCAAGAGCAAACAUGUAUAACUGGUUCCACCAAUGGAAUCUGAGUUUUGUAGCAUUAGCUGCUGCUGGUAAGAAGCGGAAUGGCUAAGGAAUUUGGUUAUAUCAGAUUCCGAUAUGGCCUAAACCGAUAUCACCAAUUUCUAUCGUUGUGAUAGUACUACCACAUUGGCUAAAGCUUAUAGUCAAAUAUACAAUGGAAAGUCUAGACAUUUGUGGUGUUAGACAUAGUAUGAUUAGGGAAUUAAUCAUGAAUGGGGUGAUAUCUAUUUGAGUUUGUUCGGUCGCAACAAAAACAUAGCUUACCACUUGACGAAGGGGUUAGCUAGAGACUUAGUGAAGAAGUCGGUAAUUGGGAUGGAUUAAAGUCCAUUUAAAUCUAUUAGCUAUGGUAUACCCAAUUCCCUUCUAUAUACAAAAUUAGAAGAAGAAUUCAAUAUUGGAAAGAUCAUAGUUAGAGAUUGGGCAAUGUGUUUUAUCUUCCCAAGGUAUGUUCUCAGACCUGCAAGUGAUGGCUAGGUUGAAUUAUAUCUUCUUAAUGGUUCUUUUGGAAAUUGCAAAUGCAGGUGCAAGAUUAAAAGAAUCACCUAUGUGAGCAUGAAGUUUUGCCGCUUCAGAAGCUUGGACUUGGCUUCCUAUAUGCUUAUUAAUGGAUAAGGACACAUGGCUUGUUAAAGUGUCAAGUAUGAAUAGUAGAGUAUCUGUAAGAAACAUAUGUGUACUAUAUCUUCAGACACUCAAAUGGAUUGACGGGUUCAAUCGCUAUGACACCCCGAUUUUUGAUUAUUUUGAAUGUGUAUUUGUACUAAGAUGGAAAAUUCAAUCGCAAGACAUUUUCAUUUACGCAUUUUGUUUGAUCGUUAUACUUGUGUGUUAUACCCUUGUAUAUAUUAUUUGUAUAUACUGAGUAAAUCAAGGAUUACACUAAAUGGGGGGGGGGAUUUGUUGGUGAUUUUAGUAUCAUCAAUGUAAUUUUAGUAGUAAUGUGAUUUACUAGUAGGCCGAUGCAAUUAUGCGUUUAAAGCUUGAAACGAGUUAGGGGUAGUGCCGAUGCACGCUGUCGAGUCAACGUAUAAUUGAAUGCGAAUAAUUGAAACGGGGUUCCAACGGUUCGAAAUUUUCUUUGAAUUCGAAUCCUUUCCCAACCGACGUAAACCGUUUCUGAACAGUUUGCGUUUUUCGGUUUUCUGUUAUUGAUCUCCUAUAUAAGGAGUCAUUUUGGCCUCAGUUUGAACAAGACAUAACGAACCAAACUUUCCCCUCUAACAUUUCCUUGAACAUUUCUCUUUGCCAGAAACAAAUUGUUCUUCAAGAAUUAUCCCCACAAAGAUUUCGUGAACCCAAGCAAGAAUAGGGUCGAAAUACUUUGUUCGGAAAGUGUACGAACACGAUUCUUCGAAGUUAUCCAGGAAUAUCAUACCCAAUUUUCUAACACAAAUGAGCAAUGUGAAAAGGAUAUAAACAUAACCAAGUUAUAUGAAAUGUAAAUGGCAAUCAAGGAUAAAUGACUGAAAUUUAAAUUGCUUAAUAGAAAACGACUUGAAAGUAAAGCAAUAUUAACAAGAGUUAGUCAAAUGUUAGUCAAGUGUUAAUGGUGAUUUUUAAUUGAUUAAGUCAUUCUUUGGAGAACCCUCAACCAUUCACUCACAAGUAUGAAUCCUUAAACCAAGCCAUCUUCCAUGAGAAGGGCUCCAACUUGGAUAUUUAACAAGUAUGUUAGUAGCUCCCAUGAAAGAAAAAAGGUCAAGUUCUCCACACAAUGCCAUGAAGAAUGGGAGACUUACAAUCUAACUUACUAUAAUGCUAUGCCUUGAGGGUCAAAUUUAUCUCUAGGUUAAGCAAUCAUAAUUGGACUUAUGUAAAAGUCACAACUAUCUGAGGCCGGGUAAUAAAAAUAUAGGUGUUAAUGCAUGUUAGAGAUUUGGUAUGAAGAACUAAACUCCUAAAACAUACCACACACAAAAAUAAAAAUCAAAAGGGAGUGACUUAUCUCAGUCAUACUUCUAUUGAUUCAUUUGACACAAGGUCAUUGAUGAAUCAAUUAGCCUUUAUACAUUAGAGAUUUCAUUGGUCAAAUAAGGAAAUGGGAAAGAAUAGGGAUGAAGAUGAAGAGGGAGAGGGAGAUAGAAACCCAAAUUGAUCAUGGGAGGGCUUUCAUCGAAUCAAAACCAUCAAUUCAUUUUGGGAGAUGAAAUGUACAUUUCAUCAAUCCCCUAAAUCCAAUGGUUUUGAUCCAACAAAAUUCAAAUCAACCUUGACCAAGGCCCAAACAGAAAGUCAAACAUCACAAGACCAUAAAAGUGGCUCAACAAUAUUUUAAAAUAUUUAAUCAAUUAAAAAUCAAUUUAAAAAUGAAUAAAAAUACAUUUUAAUUUGGUCAAAACACCAAAUAAAUGGCCAAGGGAUUUAUCCUAAGUCAAACAAGGUCAAAGGACCUUAGACAAAUUUUUUCACUAUUUUUAAAAAGUCAGAAGUAUUUUUAAACAAUUAAAAAUAUGCACAAAGACAUUUAAUUCAUGAAAAAUAUCAAAAUUAAUCCAAAAAAUCAUUUUAAUUUAGAAUAUGGAAGAGAAAAAUAUUUAAAGAUUUUUGGUGAAAGUCCCAUAUUUUUUGGAUUAAAAAUGAAAUUAAUAUGAAUGAAACAAAAAAAAAGGAUUAAAUGAAAAAUCAAAAAAUAAAUAGAAAUUCAAAAAAACAAGGCCCAUCAGAUAUCCCCCAUUAAUUGAGGUGGCAGAUAUGAUGGCCACAUGCGUGCUAUCCACGAUACACCUUAGUCAAAGCAUCACACGCGUGGUAAUCAAAAUGGAAGGCUGAGAUUAAAACGUUGGAACCAUAUCAAAUGGCUUGGACCUUUCCAAUGCACCACCGAAGCCCUAGCUCCGGUCAUCUUCUCAUGUAGACCUCACCAAACUGGUCCACCCUCAACCAAAUGAAAAAUGAAAAGUGAGUACAUGUUUUUGAAGGAAAAAUGCACAGGAGCACGAAUCUGACCUCCAUUUCUUCCAAUUCCAAGUAUAUAGAAAGAUACAUGGAUUUUAAAUUUGAGGUUCAUGAUCUGAGUUGCUUCGAUAUAACCUUAAAGCAACUCAAUCUUGUUGCCUACAUUAGUAGGACUACAACCAACCAAAAAUCAAAGAGAAUAGUGUAUAAAUGAGAGAGAAUCGAAGGCUCCAAGUUUUUGAAAAAUCACCUUCGGGUAGCUUCAAAUUGGCUUGAUCUCGAUCUAAAUUUUCUUGAUACUUCCUUCUCUUGCUUGUAGUGAUCAAUUAAGAUGAAAAAGGCUUUGAAUCCUUGGAGUUUGAACUUCCAAAUAGAAGGUGAAAUUGAAACUCGAUUUCAAAAAUAUCUUCAAGGAAUUAUAUGGUGUGAGGUUCUGAGUUCUCUUGGCAAAGCUUGGGCAAGGUGUGUGUGUGUCAUUUCUGAGGCAAUAAGCUUGUUUAAAUAGGCAAUGAUAUUCCUUUUUCACCCUUUGAAAAUUUUCCAAAAUUAGCAAGUUUUUGCAUGGAUUCAUGGGCAAUGAUUUGGGCCCAAUUCGUGAUACUAUUACAUUCCAAUUCGUGCACAAUUGACCCUGCAGCAAUAACAUGUAAGCAUGCAAAAGGAAAUGGAUAAUUGAAUUCAAAUUUUGCCAAAACAAACCUAUGAAGUGAACCAUGCGCAAGUCCGUCAAUAUUGGUCCAAAUUAGGUGAUAAUGGACUUUUUAGAAAGGUGACAUCAAGGGGAACAACUUCCAUGUUGAACACUUUUGCAUUUGAAGCUUGGAUCAUGAUGACUUUUGAGGUGGAAGUUUGGGAAUUCAAACAUAAUUGAAAAUUUUCCAAGUACCAAGUCAAAUGUUCACUUCUUCCACCUUGAGUAAGUACCAAGUCAAAUUUUUCUAAGUACCAAGUCAAAUUUUUUUAAGUACCAAGUCAAAUGUUUCUAAGUACCAAGUCGAAUGGAAAAUGUUCCCUCAUCAAAGUUGUAUCUCUUUCAAACCUCUUCAGUUUGGUCACAAAUUUGAGCUCAUUUGGAUUUGGCAUGAAGGAGUUAUGCAUUUUAAAAGUUGAGGAAAAUUGCUUGUUCAAUGGUAAUGACCCAAAAUGACCUAUAAUGUUUCCUCUUAGCACAUGCCUUUGCAAGUUGAAUUUGACAUUUCUAAAAGAAUAAAAGUUGGAAAGGACAUCUUGAAAUUUAUCAUGGAACUUAGAUGGCCUUCAUCUCAUAAAUAUUGAGAAAGUUAUGGUUCUUGGAAGUUGACCUCCUAACUCGGGCACAAACAAAAUGACCUAUAAUAUUUCACCAUAAAAAAUGGCUUUCCAAGAAAACCUAGCUCUUGAUGUUUACAUUAAAGUUGUUUGAAAUGUCCUAAGAAGUAACUUUUCUUUUGGAAUCAUUUUCAUAUGACAAAAAUUGUAGGAGAUAGGGUUUAGUGAACCCCAGUUUUGACCAGUUGACUUUCUCUGGUCAACCACCUUGAACCAACUUCUGAACUUGAAGUUCUCUUGAUCUUUUGGACUCAUGGAGGAUCGUAUAUGCAUAAGAUGAUGUAUAACUUGAUAUAUUUGAUCAAAUGUUGAAGAAACUUGUUGAGGAAGUCACACCAAAUACCCAAGUGGAUUAGGGUUUCCAAGGUAAACAAGCUUCUAACGCUUGAUGAAUUCUUGAUCAAAAUGAUAAAUGAAGAUCAUGUGGACCCAUAUAUGAUGUCUAGAACCAAUGUGAACCAUCUCUCGAUUGAUCUCCUUGCAUUGAGGGUCUCAAACCCUAGUUGUGAGCUUGAUGAGGCAUUGGUGGAUCCACACACUACCUACAAAAGAAACAAAACUAUACAUAGACAUAUUUUUGGUAUUUUGGUUAGUAAAUAAUGAAAAAAAAAGUAUGAUACAUUCAAAUGUGCUUGGUGAUCUCUCCCAAUGCGAACCCAAGGAAUGAGGGGUAAGGAGGAUGCCAACGUGUGAUCCCAAAGCCAAUUCAAAUGAAGAGAUAGCAUGAGGGAUCUCAGGGUCAAAAUUGGGGCCUUACAGUUGACCCUAUUUAAGGACAUUCUAACUGAGGAUGUGAAGGCUAAAAUCUUCGUAUCAACUCAGUAGAAUGGACUUAAAUAACAACAUCUAGAAACAAAUUUUGAUCCCUAAGAGACCUCAUGAUGCAUAUGAUAUGAAUGUUAAAACAAUCUUUGUGGGGAAUAUAUUUCCACAAAGGAGAAGAAUCCGGAGAGACUGAAAGUCCACAGGAGCAAACUGCAUUUCGUAAGGAAAACUCCCUAGGGAGAUAAAGACUCUAGGGGGACAAUAAGCUAUGAGUAGGCCAAGCUACGACUUAAAACCGCUGGGGAUACGAGUGGGAUUUCCAUGAAAAUAAAUCGAUAGAAGGACUCGGUCUAGGGAACCAGGAAAAUCUGCAGGGGAAACGGGUAGAUCACAACAAAGCCGAAAUACUCGAAUCAAACAGGAAAAUGUGAUUCCACUAAGGAAAUAAGCACUCAAACUCAAUUGGGGAAGAAUGGACUUCAACACAGGAGUACAAGAGAUAUAUUAUCUAUUAAAAACUACUGGGUGGGAAGAUAAUACACUCUGACAGAGGGACAUCCGUUACCGGUUAGGGUAAACAUAUCAAAGAUGACUCGUUGAGGAGAAAGAGGUGUAUUCGUUACCUGUUACUGGGUAAGAAUAACCUACUGGGGAGAGAACUCAAAUAGGAUUUACAACUACCGGUUACUAGGAAGAAGACCAAAGAGAGAGAAAUGGGAAUUAAGGAUAAACACAAAGGAAGAAUAUCAAGGAUUUACCUACUGGGAGUGAAUAUAUCAAGGAUAAACUCAAUGGAAGAAUAUUCGUCAUCGGUUAGGAUGAACAUAUCAAGGAUAAACUGCCGGGGAGAAAUGGGAAUUCUAUCAAUCAGUUACUGCAUAGAAUACCAAAGAGAGAAUAUUCGUCACCGCAGAGGAUGAACAUAUCAAGGAUAAACUCAGCAAGGGAAAGUAGGAAUUACAACUACCGAUUACUAGGUAGAAUACCGAAAAAAGGGAGAGAAUAUCUGUCACCGGUUAAAGUGAACAUAUCAAGGAUAGACCCUAUGGGGAAUAAAAUAGGGAUUACAGCUACCUUUUUACUGGGUAGAAAACCAAAAAGGGAGAACAUCUGUCACCGAUUAAGGUGAACAUAUCAAUGAUAGACUACUCGGGGAGACGUGAAAACGAAUCCGCUGGGGAAAACAAAGGAAGCAGAUUACAUAUUAUCGGGUAUUGGGCAAAAGUAAUGUACUAAAAAAUCUAGAAGAAUAUUAUCAUUUACUGGGUAAUAAACUCUCAGGGGACCAAAAUAUCUAUAUAGGUAAAAACUAGAAAGAAACGAUCAAACAAAAACUCAACCCAAAGAGGGUCUAACUCAAGGGGAGUGGUUCCAUCCAGGUAAUUAACUAGUGGGGAAACUGAAAUAAUAAUCAUCCACGAGGAAAUAAAUCAGUGGGGAAUGAGAAAGGUUAAACUCUUUCUGCUUAAGGGGAUGGCACUCUAUAGUUGAAGGAGGACAGACACAUUAAAUAUGCCCGGGUAAAGAAUAUUACCGAAGUAGGGGAUCCGAAGAAAAAACAAAUGCGAUAAAAUUAAUAAUGAAAUAUUUGAUGAUGUGUUUUACGCAUGAAUAUGCAUGUAUGACCAUGAUUAUGCUGACAAAACAACACAAAGGAUACAAAUAACAAAGAUUUGAAUCACUGUUGCAACACUCGACUAAUCUCAACAAGAUGGAAACACCAACUGGAGAAAAUGAUAGGGAUGAAAAUAAAUCAUCUAGCUCUGAAUAAGUUAGUUCUGGCUGGGAAAGUCAUGGAGAACAUGAUUCCACUCAAUCGCGAAAAACUCUAUGGGGAGGGUACUGCUGAAGGAUUAUCAACCAAACAUGCUGAGGAUAGAAAAAAGGAUCUGAUGAAGAUCCAAAUUGUCAACACUAUGGGGAAUUUUAAGUCAACACCAUAUCAGAAUGGGAGGCAACCUUGCAUGGGACAAAAAAAUCAAACACUGCUCAGAAUCCCAUACUGCCGGGAACGAGGGAUCUUCAUAUUAGAAGAUAAACUCCUCCAGGGAAUGCAAGAGGUAAAACUCUGCAUGAGGACUUAAGAAAAUUGUGGGGGAUGCUAUGACCAAGACCAUCACAUCCUCAAUACUAAUUAAAUUCUUCUUGGCAAUUGUGAAAUAAACUAAUUCCAAGGCAAAGAUAAUUGGAUCUGAUUCACACAAAGGAGAAACUGUCGAAGUUAUGCAACACAGUCAAAUGCAAAAUGGAAACCAAAUAAAGGUUCCGAGUUUCCAGGGUCCAAUCAAAAAUCAAAAACUAGGAGGAUACAAAACAUGAGCACCUUAGCUGGGGAAUAUGAAUUUGCAAAGGGGACCAAUCAUCAGCUUAAUUGGAAAUGAGAACCACCGUCUCUACUGAGGAUGAGAAAUCACUCAUCGAUCAUGCUGGGGAUAAAUGACGAUAUGUUGGGGAGGAAAAUAGUUACCAAACCAAUUGCUUAAGGAAUACCAACAAUGCUUCAUACUUUAAGACUUAGCUGCUCUUAGACUGUUGUUGACAUUCCUUACUGAAAUCGAUUAUUCUUAAAGUGAUUGUUUUUAUUAUUUUUACGAAAAAUAAAUAUUCAUUAAUUUAUUUCAAAAUUAUCAUAAAAAUAGAAUCAAUUAGAUAAUAGCUUAACCUUAUUUAAUAGAAUGGUAGUCCGUAAAUGACGAAACUCCAUAGAUCUUUACAAAGUUUGAAAAUGGUAAUUUAUAUGGAAAAGGGAUACAUUGAAUACAAUGAUCACUACUCUCCCUACCAACUUCAACAUCCAUUGUGCUUGUCUUCAGUUGAGAAUGAUGAAUCAGAACCAAAUGACUUGCUCAAAAUUGCUUCCAUGAUUAGGACCAACCGAAUGCGGUUACUUGCCAUAAUCCCUAAUUUUGCCUAGAUUGCCUCAAGGUGGGGUACUCAAUCUACCGGGAUAAAUUUUCUAUUUUAUGUUUCUAACUUUUGUCUGGAUCUCCCUUUCGGGUUUUCAAUCAAUCGAGACGCUCAUUUUUUCCUAAGCCGCCCUUUCAGGUUUUCAACAUAGCGAGUUUUUCUUUUCCUUUUUUAGACGAAGUAUUUUUUGACUACACCGACAUUCACAAGACACGUGAACUCUUCACCAUCCAUAGUUGUAGUAAUCAAAUCACCGCCUGAAAAGGCUCUCUUCACAACAUAUGGACCUUAAUAAUUAGGAGUCCAUUUUCCCCUGGCAUCAGGUUUGAAAGAUAAAAUCUUCUUGAGCACGAGGUCACCUUCUCUAAAACACACAAGCAUGACCUUCUUCUCAAAAGAUUUCUUCAUUCUUUGUUGAUAUAACUGACCAUGACACACGGUAGUCAAUCUUUUCUCUUCAAUCAAAUUCAACUAAUCGUACCUAGUCUGACACCAUUCAGCUUCUGUCAACUUGACUUCCAUCAAAACACGCAAUGACGGGAUCCUAACCUCCAAGGGGAGCGCAUCUUCCAUGCCAUAAACAAGAGAGAAAGGGGUUGCCCCUGUUGAAGUGUGAAUGGAUGUACGGUUCUCAUGCAAAGCAUAUGGGAGCAUCUCAUGCCAAUCUUUGUACGUUAGAACCAUCUUCUGGAUAAUCUUCUUGAUAUUCUUGUUCGCAGCAUCAACAACCUCAUUCAUCUUGGGUCGGUAGGGAUAAGAAUUAUGAUGUGCAAUCCCGAAGUCUUUGAAAAGAGUUUCCACUAUAUUGUUAUUCAAGUUUGAUCCAUUAUCAGUAAUGAUCUUACUUGGCACACCAUGCAAACAUAUAAUAUGAUUCGUUCUAAACUUUACAACAACUUACUUGGUCACAUUCACAUGCGAUGCCGCUUCAACCCAUCUUGUGAAGUAAUCAAUAGCCACAAGAAUGAAACGAUGUUUGUUCGAAGUUUUGGGCUCUAUCAAGCCAAUCAUAUCAAUUCCCCAUAUGGAGAAAGGCCAUGGAGAGGAAAUGACAUUCAAUAGUGUCGGAGGAACAAGAAUCUUAUCCGCAUGAAUUUAACGCUUGUGACAUUUCUUCAUAAACUUGCAACAGUCAGAUUCCAUUGUCAGCCAAUAGUAACCUGCUCUCAACAUUUUCUUUACCAUAGCAUGUCCAUUGGAAUGAGUACCAAAGGAACCUUCAUGGACUUCAGUCAGCAAUAAGUUUGCUUCGUGCCUAUCCAUGCAUCUGAGCAAAACUAUAUCGAAAUUUCUCUUAUAAAGCACAUCAUCAUUCAGGGAGAAGUUGCCAACUGAUCUUCCCAAAGUCUUUUUAUUUUUCAAAGAUGUUCCAGACGGGUAAAUCUGACUUUGGAGGAAACAUUUGAUAUCAAAAUACCAAGGCUUUUCAUCUUUUACUUCUUCAAUAGCGAACACAUGAGCUGGCCUAUCAACACGCAUCACGGUCAAAUUGGGAACUUCAUUCCAAAAUUUUCCCACAAUCAUGGAACCCAACAUUUCAAGAGCAUUUGCCAUCCGAUUUUCAUCUCAAGGGGUAUGAUGAACUCAACCUUUGUAAAGAAAGUUGAAAUCCUACUCGCAUAGUCUCUAUAUCGUAUCAAAUCGGGUUGAUUCUUCUCCCAUUCACCAUUGAUCUUAUUCACAACCAAAGCUGAAUCUCCAUAGACGUAAAGAUAUUUAAUGCUAAGAUCAAUCUCCUCUUCAAGCCCUAUAAUGAAAGCUUCAUACUCAGCCAUAUUGUUUGUACAUUCGAAGGUCAACCAAGUUGUAAAUGGAAAAUGGGUGCCUUGAGGAGUAAUAAUCACUGCCCCAAGGUCAUUACCAUAAGAAUAGACAACUCCAUUAAAUACCAUGUCCCAACGGGAACCAGGUUCUGGCCCUUCUUCAAGAAAUGGUUCAUCACAAUCUUUCAUCUUCAAGUACAAAAUCUCUUCGUCAGGAAAAUCAUACUGCACUGACUGGUAAUCUUCAAUCGGUUGGUGAGCUAAAUGGUCUGCAAAGACACUACCCUUAAUUGCUUUCUGAGAUCGGUAUUCAAUAUCAUACUCAGAUAACAACAUUUUCCAAUGGGAAAUUCUCUCAGUUAAAGUAGGUUUCUCAAUGAUGUACUUUAUUGGAUCCAUUUUGGAUAUCAACCAAGUAGUAUGAUUCAACAUAUAUUGGCGCAAAUGCUUAGCAGCCCAAGCCAAUGCUCAACACGUCUUCUCAAAGAUAGAAUAACGAGUCUCACAGUCGGUGAAUUUCUUACUGAGGUAGUAAAUUGCAUACUCUUUCUUUCCAGAUUCAUAUUGCCGACCAAGAACACAACCCAUACUCUCUUCAAGCAUAGUCAAAUACAUGAUCAAAGGUAUUCCUUCAACAUGUGGAGACAGAAUCGAAGGUUCAAGCAGAUACUCCUUGAUACUAUCAAAAGCUUUCUAUCAAUCUUCGGUCCAAUCACAAGACUUAUCUUUUUGAAGAAGCUUGAACAUAGGUGCACAUGUGGCAGUCAUAUGCGAUAUAAAUUCUGAGAUAUAGUUCAAGUGCCUGAGAAAACCUCUGACUUGCUUCUCAGUAUUGGGCACAUGCAUUUCUUGAAUUUCUUUGACCUUGGCAUGAUCAACUUCAAUACCAUUCUCGCUAAUAAUGAAGCCCAAUAACUUACUAGAACGAACACCAAGAGUACACUUAUUGGGAUUCAAGUUGAGUUUAUAUUUCCUCAAACGCUGGAAUAACUUCAACAAAUGCUCAACAUGUUCUUCUUCAUCACUUGAUUUGGCAAUCAUAUUAUCAACAUAAACUUCAAUCUCUUUAUGCAUCAUAUCAUGAAAAAGAGUGGUCAUAGCUCUCUGGUAUGUUGAACCAGCAUUCUUUAAACCAAAAGGCAUCACUCUAUAACAUAAUGUUCCUCUGGGUGUAAUGAAUGUGGUCUUCUCCAUAUCUUCAGGUGCCAUUUUGAUUUGAUUAUAACCGGAAAAUGCAUCCAUAAACGAAAAGACUUUGAAUUUAGAUGUAUUAUCUACCAACAUGUCAAUGUGUUGCAUAGGAAAAUCAUCUUUCGAACUAGCUUGGUUUAAAUCUCUAUAAUCAACACACAUGCAAACUUUUCCAUCUUUCUUCGGAACACGCACUAUAUUGGCCACCCACUGCGGAUACUCAGAGAUUAUAAGAAAACCAACAUCAAUCUGCUUAUGCACUUCCUCUUUGAUCUUUACUGCCAUAUCAGAAUGAGUUCUUCUCAACUUCUACUUAACUGGCGAGCAUUCAGGCUUCAACGGCAGUCUAUGCUCCACAAUCUCAGAAUCCAACUCAAGCAUGUCUUGAUAGGACCAAGCAAACACAUCCGAAUGAUCUCGAAGAAGAUUAAUCAACCCCUUAUUUGCUUUUGGACACAAUUGAGACCCAAUCUUGACUUCCUUCACAUCAUCCUCGGAACCCAAGUUGACUAAUUCAAUCUUCUCUUCAAACCACUGAAUGGCUUUUUCCUUGUGCUCAAGCAACCAAGAUAAUUCAUCUGAUACUUCUUUGUCAUCAGUCUCUUUCUCAUCUUCAAACACAGGGAAAUCAAAGUUUAGAGAGGGAGUAGGAUCAUUUUAUUCAAUGGGUUUGAGAACAAACCAGCAUAAUGAUUUGAUAUUUUGAUUUUAGAGAAGUGGAGUGCGAUCAAAUAUUAUUCAGAUGGAAGAUUAUUAUUUAUUUGUUUUAAUUUGUGAUUACCAUUUUCAGUAAAAGCAAAAAGUGAAAAUAAAAGAUCAUAGAUGUGGAUGAAUAAAAUUGUAUUUUAUUGAUGAUAAUAAUAAAAAUUCCCAACAAUGUUCACUUCUCCCUUAGGCAUAGGAAAAGGAUUUUUCUUAAAACAAUAAAAAACAAAUUACUUUAAACGGUGAAUGACAACGGGAACAUCAACAACAACCCAAUUGUGGCAAGUUUGGCCAAGCAUCACGAAGUUGGCACAAGCUUCAUCUUCAUCACCACUUUUUUCAAUAAUGGCAGCCGAGUAUUGAUCAUUCUCAUGAACGAACCCUCCAAUGGGAAUAUUGGUUGCAUAACUUUGACUUUGGCGUUGAACGGCCCUAGUUGAAAUCCUAGCCCGACUUUGUUCUUGUUCUUGGUGACCUCCACAACACGACCCCAUUUGUCACUACUGCCAGCUUGAAUAGCCUUUUACGCAUCGUUUAAAGAAGACAUGGGUUCCCUAAUUUUCUUUAACUCAUCAACAAUAGAUAAGGCUUGGAACGGAGUUCCAACCUCCUCCUCAACAUCAACAUACAUGAAAUAUGACAAAUGGCUUACUAACAAUGCUUUCUCUCCACCAACAACGACAAGCUUGUCGUUCUUCACAAAUUUCAUCUUCUGGUGUACAGUAGAUGUUACUGCUCCAUCUUUCUGAAUCCAUGGCCUUUCCAACAAGCAGUUGUAGUCCGGGUGGAUAUCCAUUACCUGGAAAUUAAUUUGGAAAUCACUCACACCUAUCUUCACUUGAAGGUCCACUUCACCAAUGACAGUUUUACAAGAACCGUCAAACGCUUUGACAGUUAUGCCGCUAUACCUCAUUGGGGCGACUUGAUAAGAGAGUCUGGACAAAGUUGAUUUUGGCAACACGUUUAACAAUGAUCAUGUAUCAACCAACACAUUGGACAAAGUGUCCUCCUUGCAAUUCAUAGAAAUAUGCAGCACCAAAUUAUGAUUCCUGCCUUCCUCAGGAAGCCCUUUAUCACAAUAACUCAAAUUGUUACAAGAAGUAAUGUUGGCAACUAUAUGGUCAAACUGAUCCACGGUAGCAUCAUGCUCAACAUAAGCCUGUUCCAACACUUUCUGCAACGCUUCUCUAUGCGCUUCAGAAUGCAUCAGUAGUGACAUCACGGAGAUCUUUGACAGAGUCUGGAGCAGUUUCUAUACAACAUUGAAUUCACUUCUCUUAAUUAGCCUUAGCACCUCAUCAUUAUCGUUAGUCUUCAACUUGUUGGAUUCAUCAGACUGACAUAUUGGAGCACUAACCAGAUUCACUACUGGAGUCUCUGUCUUCUUACUUACUGAAACAUCUUCUACCAUCUUCGGAAAUACUGGACUGAACAUACGACCGCUAUGGGUCACCUUUGCAAUAUCUACAAUGUGUACCACUGUAUCCGCAACUGUAAGAGGAACCUCUUGACAAUUCUCAAUCAUUGUGGCAUUGUAUUGGCAUGGCAUAACUUUAUUGGAGGAGUAGAGGACAGGGCCCGCUACCCAUAUGACCAACGAGGAUACCGAUCUAUUGAUAUUAUUGUUGUUACAGCUAUCAAACUGAAUGACUACCCGCUCACGAGUCUUGAACACUAGCACAAUGACAUUCACAUCAUCUCUCAUAUCCCUUGAAAGUUGAAUAUGGAUUACAUUCUCAUCCAUCAACUUAUGGAUAUCUCUCUUCACAAUCAUACACCCACGGGGUUUCACACUGCAAAUGACAUAACCAUCAUGGUCAUAUUCAUAGUCACUGAUAAAACACAGAUUUCUAUGCAUCUCCGCCAUAGAUCUUAGGAUAUGUUUCACAUCAAAAACACUAAAAUUCUGUGGACAGUCAUCCACCAGUUUAACAGAAGCGUUACCAUGAGCGGGUAACAGAUUGGCUUUUACGUUCGGUGAUCUAUCCUCAAAGGACACCAUACCACUCUUUACCAGCUUAUGAACUUCAUAUUUUAGAGGAUAGCAAUUCUCUAUAUCAUGGCCAGGGGAUCCCUUGUGAAAAGCACAAUGAAGAUCAGGCUUGAACCACCAUGGUAGUGGCUCAUGAGUUCGCGGAGGAUUCCUUGGCUGGAUGAGAUUCUUGAGAAGCAAUGAUGGGUAUAACUCUGCAUAAGUCAUAGGAAUAGGGUCAAAGGAGACCUUUUUCCUCUCAAAAUUUUGUUGGUGAAUAUUGUUGUUGUUGUUGUUGGUUCUUUGUUGCGGUUGUUGAUGAUGUUGUUACUGAACUGGAACUAAUUGAUUGUUGGGAUUGUUUGAAAAAACUGGAAUUACUAAAGAAACUUGGUGCUGAUGUUGACGGGGUUGAGAAAUCUUUCUCACAUGAGGCCUCUUUUACCUCCCCACUGAUACUGAAUUAGUUUCUCUUUCCUUCCUCUUGGAAAAAAUCCCACUAUACUUCUUGCUGGCUGAUGCUUCUUCUUUAAACAAAUGUCCUUCACGAACUCCUUCUUCUAGCCUCAUCCCCAUGUUUACCAUGUCGAUAAAAUCAUUGGGGGGAACUCGUAAUCAUACGUUCGUAAUACAACGAACUCAGCGUCUUGAAGAAGAUCUUCGUCAUUUAUUUCUCUUCAAUAGGUGGACUUAUCUAAGCAACCAAUUCUCUCAAUCUCUGGGCAUAUUCUUUAAAUGUCUCUUUAUCCUUCUGGGACAUAGACCUCAAUUUAUCUUUAUCAGGCACCAUAUCCACGUUGUACUUAUACUGCUUGACAAAGGCCUCACCUAAGUCAUUGAAAGUAGACCCAUGUACCACCUCAAGGCAACUCCAGUCAAACUGACUUGGAAAUAGUGAUUCAACAACUGAUCAUUAUCAGUCUGAGUAGACAUCUUUCUGGCGUACAAAACAAGAUUGCUCAGCGGGCAAGUAUUCCUUUUGUACUUUUCAAAGUUUGGGACCUUAAAUUUCACCGGGAUCUUAACAUUGGGGACCAAGAAGAGUUCAACAACACUCAUCUCAAACAAAUCUUUCCCUAUCAGAGUCUUUAACUCUUUGCGUAGCUCGAGGAAUUGAUCUUUCAUCUCAUCCAUCUUCUCAUACACAUAUGGACCCUCAGACGGCUCAGAGUGGUAGAUAGUAUCCUCAACACGAGGAAGAGUGUGAACAACCGGAGGUGGCACUGACAUGACUGGGCUAGAUGCCAGUAGAGAAACAAAUGUGGGCGCAUACCCUUCUGGCAUAAAAUUUGGUGGCAUUCCCCAAGGGAAUUCAGUAGGCAUAGAAGGAAUGGAUUGGCUUGUAGCAACAACAUGAAUAGUUGAGGUAGCAACCUCAAAAAUGUCAGUCCUCUAAGGAGGAGGAGUUGCAGGAGUUAGUGAUGACUGAUUUUGGGAAGUAAUCACAGAUUCCAUCGACACCGUUAAUCUGGAGAUCUCGUCCUUCAGCUCUCUGUUCUCUUUCUCUAGAUGCUCCAUUCUCUUUGGUCGAUUAACGCGAGUAUUAUAACAGUGAGUCAGCUUGGCUGAUGCACAGAAGAAGAACUGAUAAGACAUUUGGCGACAGAAACCUGUUAUACAAAAGAUGCAUGAUAUGCAAUGUUUUUUAUUAUUUUAAAUUUUCAAGGAACAUAUCAAGUCAUAUUUGCCAAUAUAUAUAUAUAUAUAAUUAAUAUAUAUAUUCAAAUAAUAAUAAUACAAAUUUGAUUGACCACAAAAUCUCUUUUUAUAUAAUAAAAUUUUGAAGGAUUACACUGAGUACAAUUUCAAAAACCAAAGUACAAAUACAAGAGAAAAGUAAACUAUCAUCCAAAGGAUCCCUAGUAGUUGCAUCAGAUGAUCUGGCUAUGGGUGAAUAUGUUCUUCGGAUGCGUCAAAUCUCCGACUCAAAGGAUGUCUUCAUAUGACCCUUCUCAAGAACUAGCUGAUCAACAAUCUUCUUCCAAGCACGGGAAGGCUGAGGUAUGCUAGAGGAAGAUAGACCCUCUGGCUCUCUCUGUCUCUUUACUACACGAUCUUCAAGAUUCUCAAUAAACGCAUCCUUUUCAUUCGACUCAAGCUUUAACUCUUCAUGCUUUCGGCUUAAAACAUGGAACCCCUCUUCCCACAUAUCAUUCUCUUGCUUCAUCUUUGUGAGUGCGUCUUUCAACUCCUCUACAUCUUGGUCAGGGAGAGUUGAUGGCUCAACCAUAACCAAAGACAUAGGUCUUUCACAGGCGUACGACAUAUUUAGCUCCAUAGCUCUCUUCUUCAGCCAAAUAUUGUAAGCUUCCAAAGCUACACAAUUGCACGUACCAAGCUCGGAUCUUCCUUUCCUAUGCACGUUAUGCCAAGCAUGUAUCAUUCUUUUCUUCAAAUUUUGCGGAUCUUUACCCUCUUGAUAGAAUAGACCUUCUAACUUAGUGUUAUUAGGUUUAUCUCUCAAGGGGAACCCAAGUUGAUGACUCGCCAAAGAAGGGUUAUAGUUGAUACCUCCUUGUGUACCAAUGAGAGGCACAUUAGAGAACUCACCAAAACUAUGAAUAAUAUCCAAGCUACUCAAUGCAGAAUCAUACCAAACAAUAUCAUCAUUAGUGAGAGACAUAAGUCUCUGAGACCACCGUAGACAUUGCUUGUUCUCCAAAAAAGCAGGCGUCUGAGGCAAGUGUGAAAUAAACCACUUGUACAGAAGAGGAACACAACACACAAUAGUCCCACCACCUUUAGAAUUCCUUAAAUGCAAAGAGAAUACAUGUCACCCAACAUAUUCAAAACAGGAUUCCCAAUCAAGAAGAUUCUAUUGAAGUUAACAUCAACAAAAUUGUCAAUGUUAAGGAACAAACCUAGACCAUAGAUGAGCAAUACAAACACGGCUUCAAAAGCAUCCAUACUACCGACUUGAGCAAAGACAAUGGCUUUACCAAUGAGGAACUCAGAAGUUAACCCAAGAAUACCCAAGAGAUCUGCGAAUCUCCUCCAAUCAACUAAAAUGUACCUUGUAGAUACGGGUAUAAUCCAAAAGAUGGGCAGACUCUUCCAAUGCAGGCACAAGCUGAUAAUCAGGAAAAGUGAAACACCGGUAGGGAGGAUCAUAGAACUGAAUCAAAACAUCAGAAGUCCUUCAACUACAUCAGCAAAUAAUACAGACAAAAGCUUCCCAUCACGUUACUUGAAGUCAAAGGGAUCUAAUACAAAGGAUGACAACUUCCUUAGCUCUUUCAAAUCAGGACAUUUAGAACUGUACUUCUUAGUGUUCUUUCGUCCAUAAUCCAUGGUCUAAAACUAUUUGCAAACAAGGCCUCGGUUUCCUUGAAAUUUUCUUUUCUGUGAUGAAUGUUCUGAUGUGCAUGUAUACAUGAAUGCAACAACCACAAACAAGGGAUCACACAUAAGGAAAACAUAAACAAAGGUCAAGGGAUGGAUCAAGUCAUCAUCAAGAUCAAUCAUCCAUUUUGGUGGAUUAUGGUUUUCACCUUAUCAACACCCAAGUUCCAUUGAUAUUGACAAGACUUGAUCGGAUCAACCGAGAAUCAAAGGGUUUUUUGUGGGUCACGAGCAUGAAGUCAGGUUAAGAACCAUCCCAAAGGAGUGUACUAAUGAUAAAAACCUGUAGAUCAUGUUCUAAAAAGUUCCCAAAGUCUUAAUCCCAUCUAUCGGAUAUUAAAGGUUAGGAUGUGUAAGACCCUAAUUUUGUCCCUAAGAUCCCUCAUGGCAUCAUAACAUUGCAUUGACAUUGCCUCAAGGAUCACUAGCAUCUUGGUUCCCUUUACCCUUGGGGUGGGACUUCUUGAGAGUGGUUUGAGAUCACCAAGCAUGCUUGAAUUGUAUAUCAUUGCUUUUCUUAUUUUGUUCACUAACCAAAAGCACAAAAAUAUGUCACUAACAUCUUUUGUUUGUAGCUUGAGCCAUCAGAAGAUCCAAAGCUUCAAGGAGAUCACUUAUGCAAUGGUAAGGUCAAGAGGAGAUGAUAGCAAGCAUGGUAAUGGUUCCCAAAGAUCUCAUCCAUCAAGUAUGCCUCCCUAGCAUCUCAAUUCACCAUUUUGAUCAAAGAAAGUCAAAGGAUUUGAGGUUGGUUCCCCAAAGAAACCCUAAUUCAUCUAGGCACCACAAUGCCUUGCUCCUGAAGCAACCUCAGCCCAUGAUCAAAUACAAUCAAGGGAAGUUAUUUAAUUCAUCAUUUCAUGCAUGUUUGAACUUAUUUGAGUGUCCUCAAUCAUCAAUUCAUCAAGAUAUGUGUCAUGGACUUGAGAAGUUGAUCAGUCAAUUCAUCUGACUAUUUUGAAAUGCACUGAGACCUAACUUUUUAUGUGUUAGUCAAAUGGAGAUGGUUUCAAAAGAAAAAAUGUUAUUAAGAACAAUAUGAACAACUUUCAUGUUCAUAAAAAUUUGAUUUGAAGCUUGGAAGGCCAUCUCCCAUUCCAAUACAUUAUUGGUCAUUUUGACAGAAACCCUAAUUUUGGGUCAACUUCCCAAGGACAUAACUCAUUCACUUUUUAUGGUUUUGAGGUGGGAUUUAAUGAAUUGGAAAGAUUAAGAUGUCUAAUUAAAAUGUUAUGUUUAACAAAAUUUCAAAAUCUCAAAGGAAAUACAUUUGAUAAUGCAAGACAUUAUAGGUCCUUUGUGACCAAAAGCAUUAAAAGGCAAAAAAGUCCAACUUCAAGUGCCCAUAACUCUUUCAAAAAAAAUCCAAAUGAUGCAAAAUUGAAGUCCAUUUUGAUUGUCUUGAAGAGAUCUACAAAUUUUACGCUGGAGACGUUUUCAUUUGAGGCUUGCACCAUCAAAACAGAAGGGCUUGAAAAUUGGCCAAAUUUAGAAACCUUGCCUUCACAUGUCAUGCACCUUGCACUUUAAACUCAAAUUUCAUAAAUUUCCACACUUCAAAUGGAUUUUUUCCCAACAUAACAAUUGUUCCUUACAUCAAAACCUUUCCAAACAUUACUCACAUCAUCAUGUUUGGAUUUGGCAAUUGGUAUUUUCUAAGAGGUGAACAUUUAGGCAUAAUUAUGGAAUUCACAUCAUAACCUCAUGCACAAGCCAAUGCAACUCUAAUUACACGUCCAAAUCAUUGGCAUCUGAGUUCAGCUUGCAUUUCCAUCCAUUUUUGGGCUUUGCACGCGCCUGCACAGGCCCAUGCAUGAGAAGUCCAAAUUCCAUGCACAUGAGAAUUCACCUUGCUUGCAGUUUUUUUUGCUAUAAAUAGAAGUGCUCAGCUUCAUUCAAACUCAACCUAAAGGCGCCUGAAACCCUGCUGAAGUGAUUCCCCAACCUCACCAAAGAAGCUAUUUCCAUUUUUCUUCAAAUUUUUCAGAUCCAAAAUUCAACUACAUCUGGUUGAAUCUUUGGAUCCAAAGCUUUUAGACCUUCAUCAUUUAGUUCAUUGAUCUUCUGUUUUGGCAAAGAAAGCAAGGAAUCGAGCUCAAGUUUCCAAAAUUCAAGCUUACUCUUCAACUGGUAUUUUCUUCGAAUCUCAUCAUCCAUUGACCUAUUUGCUUGGAUCUUGUGUUGGCUGAAGUCCUCUCAAUAGAGGCAUCAUGAUUGUGCAUUUAAUUUUUGAAAUCCAUUGAGUUCAUGAUGAACACCAGAUUUUUCAACCUCUGAUAUCUCAUACCAUGGACGGUACAGGGAUGAUGUACAUCAUCCCAACUUUCCAAUGAUGUAUAGAUCGUGUGAUUUGGUUAAGCUUUGGUUGUCUGCUAUGGUGGCCGGAAAAUGCAAGCUCACCGGAGAAGAAGGUGGCUCCGGUGGCUGCUUUAUUGCCAGAUCCAAUCUGGACCGUGUGAUUGCAUUUCCAGAUCUAAUCCAUGCCAUUCAUUGUUAUGACUUUUUUUAAUACAUUGUGCUUCGCCUUUGACUCAAGCCUAUGAUACGUGCGCGCCUGUGAGCCAUCUGAUGUGCCACAUCAUUUAAUUUAAUGAAACUUGAUCCAACGUGCCAGGCUUUUUUCAUUUUCUGAUUUAUUUCAUUUUAUUUUGUUUAUUUCAUUUUAUUUCAAAAAAUCAUAACUCUUUCAUUUUUAAUCCAAACAAUAUGGGACCAAUUGCAUUAGUCUCCAAAUAAAUUCUAGUUUCUAUUUCUGAUUUUUAAUAUUUUUUAUUUUGUCAUUUGAUAUUUUUUGUGAAUUUUCUCUUUUCUGGUUAUUUUUAAUUGAUUUUAAAUAGUUUUUGAUAUUCAAAAAAUACAAAAAUAUUUUCCUAACCGAUUAGAAUGAUGAUGGAUCUAUGAAAAAUAUUCUCAUCAAUUUUUAAAUUGAUUUGAGAUUUAUUUGAGAUUUUAGUUCAAUUAGGUUAUUUUUAUUCAUUUUUAAUUGAUUAAAAAUAGUUUCUGACUUUUAAAAAUGCUGAAAUUUUUUGUCAAACUUUGUUUGACCUUGUUGAACUUGGGAUAAAUUACUUGGACCUUUCAAGGUUGAUUUGAAGUGAUUUUGAAGUUUGACCUUUCCAUUGUUUUUAAUUCAAGUUUAUUUUAAUAUUUGAAAAUGCCAAAAAUAUGUUGCCCAUUAUUUGAUCUCCAAUCUUCAUCUCAUUUCUGAUUUCUUAUUGUUUUACUUUGACUUUCAAUGUCAUUUGGUCAAUACAUAUGGAUUGGUACAUCUUAUUUCAUUUAAUGCAUUUUGAUCUUUCCAUUUCCUUAUCCUUUUUUCAUCCAUUCUCCAUCUCCUUCUUCUUCUUCAUCUUUCUUUUUUGAUCAAUGAGUUGAAGGUUGAUAAGUUAGUAUUGAUUAGGGAGACUUAAUCUUCCUUGAUUCAAAUCUAAUUCAUCUUGAUCAAUUGAUCAAGUGAAUGGAUUUGCAUUAAGGAUAGGUUGUUUCCUAAAUCAUGCAAAAGGCUUAAACCAAUACAAAUUCAUCUUGAUCAAUUGAUCAAGUGAAUGGAUUUGCAUUAAGGAUAGGUUGUUUCCUAAAUCAUGCAAAAGGCUUAAACCAAUACAAGAUCAUUUCUCUUUUCUCUUUUUGGCAUGGCAAGUUGUUGCAACUUGGUUCACUAAUCAAGACUUCUAACUUGUGUUGUUGCCUACAUUAUUAUUGACCGGCGCCAGAUAGUUGUGACUUCUACAUAAGUCCAAUUACAAUUGCUUAACAUAGCGCUAAAUUUGCCUUAUGGCACACUAACUACUAACAAUAACCAUUAACAUAUAACAUUUACCUUUUUCUCUUUACUUUUAUGCAAUUUACUAUUCUUGCACAUAUUAUCCAUUUUCUUUUUUUCUCUUUGCUCACUUGAGCCCAUGUUUAUGUUAAUGCCAUUUGCCAUUUGCCUUUUUCUCACUUGAGCACAUAAUUGUGGAUAUACUCUUGUGCUUGUGUUUUUGUUUUGAUUGUUGUGGACCAAAUGCAAAGAAAUGGACUUAGUUUCUAGGACUUUCCCUAUGCAAAGAAUGGAGAAAUGGACUUAGAUUCUAGGACAUUCCCUAUGCAAAAUUGUAGUAAAAGGACCUUAAUGAUGAAUAUGGACCAAAUCUCUAAACUCACUCUUGUCCAUUCUUAAUUUACUUCAUGGAACUUUUGAUGUGUGUGUUCUUGUGCUAGGGGUUCCCACUUGAGCUUAAUUGGAGGACCAUUGCCA